CUCAACAUAUGUGACACAAUGAUAAAGGAGUACCAUGGUCGCAAGGGCAGUGCCGACGAUGGGUUGCUGUCUUCUGAGCUGCCUUCCUGUGUGGAGAAAGUUGACAAACCUUUCAUCGACUGUUGGUUGGGCCUUCUUGCUAUGGAGGCGAAAAAGUUGUUAGAUGAAAAUUUUGCGGUGGGCAUGUUGGUCAAACUUAACUUUUGCCUUGCUAGCACCAUAUAGGGCCAAUGAUUCAUAAUUUGUUUUUUCUACAUGAAAUGGUGUUGUUGUAACAUCUAUUUACCUUCACUUGGAAUAAAAAUAAUGUUACUGUGUCAUCAAUUUUACUUUCACUUUCGCUUGUGAUAUAUGUGUAUGCAAAAAAGUUAAUUAGAAAGCUGUCUAGAAAAUAGCUAUCGCGCAGCUCCUCCAUGAGCACGCAUCGACGGGAGUGUGGGAGCCAGCCUCCACUCACUGAACCUAAGGGGAGGCAGUGGGAGUGCAACCGGAGGGCCAGGGGUGGGGUGGGAAGAGGAGGACGCCUUGGAUCUCCAGCACCAUGUCGUCCAGCCCUAGCUUGUGUUCUCUGAAUAAAUAAACAGUGGUGGUUAUGUUCCUGAAUUAAAACUUGUUGAUUUGCCGUGCGUUGCUCUGAAGAUCAGCUGUUCAACUGUUGGUCCGAUGGAAAUUUAUGAGGUGUAUUUUGUCAGUUUCAGGCCAAAAUCACAGGGCACGUCCUUUCCUUCCCAAUGAAUUUCUCUCUUCACUUCCCAAAUAAUUUGGCUGCACCCGUUUUUCGUUCCUGAGUGCUUGGUUUUCAGCCAUUCAAAUUUUUAACUUGUAAGAACUUCUCUGUCCUCACUAAGGGGAAACAACCAUUGUUGAAAUUGUAAACUUUUUGGUCACUUUACCGAACUUCGUUCUAAUGGGCGAACAACUUCUCAGUUAUCUUGCCCGAACAUUGCUCAAAUAGGUUACGUACUUCAUUGUUUACUUGCUCACACUUUUUUUUAACAUAAUUGAAGAAUUUCUCCGUAUCUUGAUUGUACACCGGAACUUUCUAUGGGUGUACAUCUAUAUCUAUAUAUCUAUACCUACCUACUAUUAAAGGAAGGAUUGUUUCUGCCCGUCCGUCGCGCUUUUUGCCAAAACAAAAACCUCGCACUUCCCCAAAAUGAAUCCGCGGUCCCGUUUAAGUGUGAGUAGAAAAAUGUUUUGUGUUUUGUAGAAACCCCCUGAGGUUUCGGUUAAUCAACCCAUGGUCCUAUUUUAAGUAAGAACAUAAAACAUUUUGAUUUUGCAGAAAAUCCCCUGAGGUUCAUCUAGAAAAUAAACUUUUUUUACAGAUACAAUUUUUUAAAAUAUUCAUAUAUUUUAAACUGUAUAUCCAAUUUUAACAUGUUAUAUAUGAAAAUUGGUUAGAAAAAUAUGUAGAAUUUGAAUAUGAAGUUUUCUUUACCCGUUAACCAUUUUUAGAUGCUGCUUAGGGACAGAUUCAACUGCUUUUAAAAAUAUUCACAUCUUUUAAACAUUAACUCUAGUUUUAACAUGUUCUAUAAAUAUAUAUGGAUUGGUUCAACACACUUCCAACAUCCAUUAGAUCUAUCCACACGUAGUUAAUUAUAUUUCUAAUUAAAAUUUACAUAGGUUUUGAUGACAAAUCAUCGGAUGACUAAUUGAAUCGGACAGCACAUACCACAAGGAGUACAUACUCUAGGAGUACUAACCCUAUAAACGGGUUUUGAUGGUGGUUCUAUUCUAUUAACACCCUUAAGACCUUAUUCUACUAACAAAACCACCUUAUUCUACUUGCACUCCGAACUAGCAAAGAUGAAAACAGAAUAAAAACCCGACCCUCCUACCACGACCAUCCACUUCCCCUGCGACCCACCAAUCUCCCACGAGAUCCACAAACCUACACCCCUACCACCGCGGCACCCCACACCACCACCACCUACCCGAGCCUGUUGCCCACAACCACCUGCCCAGCAGCCGGCGACCAUGGGAAAACCCCCGAUGACCACAACACCCCACCCACCCACCGCCAGCCCCCUUCCACAACACCAAAUGUGCCUCUCCUGCCCCGCCAUCCUCCCCCGCACACCACCGCCGCACAGGGCCGGAUGUCCGCUUGAUCUCAUGCGCCCAACCUACAAANNNNNNNNNNNNNNNNNNNNNNNNNNNNNNNNNNNNNNNNNNNNNNNNNNNNNNNNNNNNNNNNNNNNNNNNNNNNNNNNNNNNNNNNNNNNNNNNNNNNNNNNNNNNNNNNNNNNNNNNNNNNNNNNNNNNNNNNNNNNNNNNNNNNNNNNNNNNNNNNNNNNNNNNNNNNNNNNNNNNNNNNNNNNNNNNNNNNNNNNNNNNNNNNNNNNNNNNNNNNNNNNNNNNNNNNNNNNNNNNNNNNNNNNNNNNNNNNNNNNNNNNNNNNNNNNNNNNNNNNNNNNNNNNNNNNNNNNNNNNNNNNNNNNNNNNNNNNNNNNNNNNNNNNNNNNNNNNNNNNUCCCCCCCAGCUAUUUUCGGUCGCCGCCGCAAAUGGCCACCGUCGCGAGGUGCUGGCGUCCUUGCAUGCACCAGAUCAAGCCCCCGCAUCACCCCCUCCCUACUACGCCGCCGUGCCCGGCCUCCCCACCGGCAAGCAUAGCCUCUCCCACAACUGUGGCAUGUGCUUUACCUGCACUUUCCUUCUCGCCCUCAAGAUCGUUCUGCUCACCUUGACCACUUCACCCGGUGGUGGUCGACGAGUGAAGGGAAGUGUUGAACCAUGCACUCCGGAUCGAGCCGUACUGCAAAUCCGUAUCGGUUGACUUUUCUCAUACACAAUUUUUGUUUGCUGCAGCGCGGUUUGAAGUAGAGUGCAGUUCGGCUUUGGGUGUCGACAAAGUGCAGCUCUUCACCAGCGGCAUUCCUGUGUGCUAUGUAAAAUUUAGAGCAGUUCGCGUGUGUAAUUGUUUUUUUUUCAUUUUUGGCCGUUUGGUACUUGUAUGUAACUUAUGUUGGUGUAUGUUUACUCAGCUUUGAAAAUUAAACAGUAUGCUCUUUAUUCAUUUCAGUUCAUGACAUGGUUCACUCCUUCUUUUUUCGCUGUGCACUCGAUCGAUGCAGUGCAUUAUGCUCGACUCGACAGUCCUGAUGCGUUUAUAAAAAAAGGUUUGAAAAGACAAAAAUAUACAAAAUGAAUAAUGCAGACCACUAGCAUUGACCAUGUAAUCGAGACACAUUUACAGAAAAAGAUAGAAAAACUAUUGCAGUUCACCUCGAGUAGGAAAAGAUGCAAAAAAGUUUAUAAAAUAUAGUAAACUUUGUCCCACAUCAAAUUAGAAAAAUAAAACAAAAAAGGAACUAAAAAAGAUGUAGAAAAAAUAUCUAAAAACACAAAAAGCGAAAUACAAAAUGAUAUAGCAAAAAAAUGUUAGAAUUCACUCGCUCUCGUUCAUGAAGUCCAGAUAAGUUAGUAGAGAAUGUUAUUCAAAAAGAAAAAAAAUAAUGCAGUUCACAAGGCCUCGACCAUUCAAUCUAGAAGAGUUUACAUAAAAAGUUAGAGAAAAGAAAAAAGAACUCAUGCAGUUCGGUUUCAGUUUGUGUCAAGAUUCAUUUUUGCCUGAUGUGAACUGUCAAUCAACUGCAUAGCAGAUGCAGUUCAAUUUGACAUUAGGUGUAGUACACAUGGUGUCUGGCCGAAAAUAUACAAAAAUGCAAUUCAAGAUCGUCGUUUUUCUAAUAUUAAUUUUAAACUGUAGCAAACUAGGAAGAGUGCAUCCAUAACAAAAAGUUACAUGAAAAUUUUGCCUCUCGUUGAUAUCUUUCCAACGGUGUAUCAUUUGCGUCAUUCCAAUAAGCGAUUAUUUCUUUUUGCGAAACAAUGGUUACUGCUAAUCAAUGUGCAGUGCACCGUAUUUGAAAUUCAUUUAUUACCUUAAGGAUUCUCAAAAAGGGUACUACAUUGAAAAGUUUCACCUAUUCCAUAGCUUUCCAACGGCACCAGACUCGUUCCGACAAACAAUUGAAAAAAUUAUAGUGAAAACAGUACAAAAAAAUAUCGCAUGCAGUUUCACGUGUCGACAUUGUAGUGAUGUUUCCCGUCUAAUGCAGUUCAGUCCGUCAAUUUUGGGUCCACAAAAAACAGUGUCCGUUUUUCCGUCAAUUCGAAAUUUCUCUAAAACCGUAAGGAACUAGAGAGAGUGUUCUAUAAGAAAAAGUUGCCCCUCAAUGAUAUUUUCUCAGUAGCCAUUUGCAUCAUUCUGACAAGCGGUUUGUAAAAAACUAAUAAAAUUGCUCGCUGCCACUCAUUUAACUACUGAAUAGAAGAACAAGGCAGAAUAUGUCAGGUAUAUGACGACACACGACGGAGCGGGAGAACCAAUACCAGGGUGAAAUAAAUGGAACUAGAGAUGUUGGACGGUGGCUAAGAUGUCGUGACCAUCGAGGAGUUUUGUAGGAAAAUGCUUCUCGGGAUGGUGUGCGUGCGGCCCCGUCGGGCCGAAGCCCUAGCUCUGGCUGGACACAGGGGCGUCGGCGACGGAACUGUAGUCGAAGAUUGCCACAGAGUCAUCAGAGAUGGCACCAGCAAUGGAGGUUGACAUGAUGGAUAUUUAUGGCGGGAGAGAGAGAACACUAAGGGGGGCGGUGCUGGGCAGCGGCAUGGAGGGUUUAUAAUGGAGGCGGGUACCAGAGGAUACACAUAACAACCCUUGUAAACGACAACACUGACCGGCAAGAAACACGAAGGGUAAGAUUUAAUUGGUAAACUCAGACGGGUCAAAGAAUGCAGUCGACCAAUGGUAAAUAUUGGUCUAUUUUGACCCAGGAACACAAUAUCAGAUACGGGUCAUUUUCGGACUGAUCUAUGAUAAGCAUCAUCUGGAUCCCAAAAUGCUUAUCACUAACACACCCGAGGGGCCCAGUCGGUGAUAAUGCUCAUCACUGACGAGUGGUCAGUGGCCGGUCGGUGAUUAGGUGUCAGUGCUACAUGGAUCUUUAGUGGUCACUAUAACAAUUUUCAUAUGCACAUAUGGUCAUAGUUUAGUAUUAAAUGUUUAAGUAUAUGAAGUUCCCCCCAAACCUACAAGUACACAAUAGCAGGGCUGGGCCCAUAGGUGUGAAGAGAGUGCGGCCCGCACAGGGCCCAUAAUUUUUGGGGACCCAAAUUUUUAUAUAGGCCUAUGUAUAGUUCCUCCUGGGCCUCCAGCUCCAAGGGGCCCCCUUAUUUUGAAAACAACAGUAGAACCCAUUACGGAGAAAUGGGUCCAGUUGAAAGCACGCAACACUAUUAGCCCUUGAAGCAACCGGCCGCUCAAUCGCUCAAUGCUCCCAAAUCCCGAUCCAAUCUUCCCUACAAAAAUUCCUGUACAAUCCUUCGUCUUCUUGAGCACAAGUAACAAGCCUCCAGAUCUAGGCCGCGUCGACGUCUCUGCAGCGUUUGUGUCUCCUCGUCCGCUCUAUCCUUGGUUCUAGAUGGCAGCAGCCGAGCCCCAGGAAGGCAGAAGCUGUUUGAGUUUGGCAAAUAAUGGAACUCGUUUUCCAUCGGCCAAGGACCCAUGGCUUUGACCGUGAGUUCAACUAAUUUUAUCAUUUUCAUCUUUUGAGUUUCGCCUUUUGAUUUCCAAUACCUUUUGUAUACCGGCGUGGCCAUCGAUCGGUGUUCCAAGAUCGAGGUCACUAUUUCCUCGAGAGAACAUAAUCUUUGUCUUAUUAGUUGUCGCUCAAAUGGACUUACCGGAGGGAGUAUCUCAAAAAUGAUUAUGCAACCAAGUGUUGAAUGGAUGCGAUUUUUGAUCCAUCCCAUUGCUACGUCACACAAUAUGAUCUAUGCAUUAUUAUCAUUCUACUUUUCUACCGCGACAGGGCCCAUUUUAGAGUUUGGCACAGUGCCUCCGAUUUUGCCGGCCCGGCCGUGCACAAAAAUGUCGAAAUCAACUAGCGAAUAAAUCUGCAGUUAAACGACAGAGAGGACCGCAAAGCAACAUUUACAGUCUUCGCAACACUCAAUUCUAAAGAUGCACCCACGAAAACUAACAUACAUAACUUUUUUUUUUUGCGGGGAACAUAAACAAGUUAUUUGUUUCUUUUGCAACAGUAUGUCAGAGACGAAAAGGUAAUCGAGGGGAAUCAGGUGCAUUGACUGCACCUUUCUCUACGUCAGAAGUGCGCUCCGAAGUAUACUGAACCAGAUAGAAGUCAGUGAUGAAGGGCCACACCACCUAAGUGACCCAUCGUCCUGCUUCUCCAUGUCGGGUGUGAAGUUGUCCCGUGAUAAUACGUAGAGGUUCCACGUGAGCGCAGACAUUUUAAGUUUACAAAAUCACCUGAGUUGUUAGGUAAUUAUUGACGGUUAGGCCUAAUUCUUCCUUGAGUUCAUGCAAAGAAAUUAUUUAAGACUGGUUCUGUUACUAGCCCAUCCACACAUGGUUCUUCCUCUGGUGCACACCCCCCUGUGAGCACGCCUACCAUGCAGAAGAAAAUUGCCGAGAUGAAUAAAAGGGAAAUGAUGGCAUAAUUUGGGAACAUAAAACAAUCCGGUGAAUGGUGUGCCAAGGAGCAGCUCCUGCUAGCAAGAUGCAAGGCGGGCAAGCGCAACAGAAACAAGAUGCAAAACAUAGGCUUGUUUGGUUGAUCAUAGCAACCAGGUGUUGGCUCUCCUUUCCCUUUGAAUAGAGCUCACACAAAAGAUAUGCGAGUUGAGAAAAUUAUUGGAUCCAAACCUGAAAGGUCGAACAUGAUACACUAAGGAGAAACUAAAUGAUAUAUGGGUCAUAUAUGUGACAAAGAGAGAAAAAAUGUGCUUUGUCUAAGUGAUAAUGUUAUUUCAGCAACAAAUUUAUGGGAGAAAAGGAGGAAAGUUUUGCUAUUUACACAAUUGAACUAUUAAAAAAAUCAAUAAUUACGAGCUCUUUGUCAAAUCCUAAUUGGAAUUUCCCAUCAUCCUCGAUUAUUAUAGAAAGCUCUUCUCGACUAUACCUGGCCAUUCCUCGGGCUGGGCCAGGCAUCGGGCCGGGCCUAUCCAAGCCCGAUGCAGAAAACCCAGGCCCGGGCCCGGCCUGGCCAGGGCAUCGGUCCUAAAAAUCAGGCCCAAGCCUGGCCCGCCAGUGUAAAAGCCCGCCAGGCCUUGGGCCGGGCCUCUUUGUUAAAUCGCAAAUAUGGCAGGCCCGGGCCCAGCCUGGCCCAGCCUUCGGGCUCAAAAGCUAGGACUAGGCCCGACCCAUGGGCAAGGCUGGGUCGGGUCGGGCCGUUCGGGCGGGGCUGCCCAUGGCCAGGUAUAUUCCCCGCGUCCCCGACAGCUUAACCUGCUCACUGGGGCGACAACUUUGCACGUGUACCUCAAGCCCUCUUUUAUUUCUGAGGACCAUAUGGCAGACCUAACAAAAUAGUAGGUAGUUCCAUGUAGAGUGGGAGGAAAAACAACUGAGCCCAAUGUAAAAAAAAACAAUUUGGCCCACUGAGGUUAGAUUAUGUAACCCUUAUGUACUGCAAAUAUCACGAUACCUUAAUACAUUGAGCAUGAUAACUUAAUGAGUAGUUUGGGCCGCCUAUGGAACAAGAUAAUCCCAUCCAGAUCUGUUCAAGGACUUUAGACUUUCCUUUGUAAUGUUUCCCAAUCAUAGAUUAUUAGGCUCAGUAAUCCACAUCUUCCUUUAUAUUUGAAAGGAAACAAACAACCCCCAAUAAAACCGCGGAAAUGUUAACGCCCACACGUGUGGGCGUUUGCAUCUCGCCCACACGGGAGGGGCUGGUGUGUGGGUGAGAUGCAGUUCGCCCACAUGCCAGUUUGCACGCACACACAAGGGCUAGUGUGUGGGCAUUUGCCAUCUCGCCCACACGCCCGUCUCCUCUCCCACACCCAAGCUGCUAGUUGCCAUGUGUUUUGCAGUGCACAUGGCAACUGCCCCUAGUGUACUUUAUAAGAAGGUGGCAACUCUUUUUUUACCUGAGUUGUCAUGUGUUUUGCAGGGUACACGACAACUGCCUAGUGUGCACGUAAGCAGAUGGCAACUCUCUUUUACCGAGUUGCCAUCUGUUUUUGCAUGGUACAUGGCAAUUGUCCUAACGUGCACAUACAUGGCAACUGCCCUAACGCGCACGUAAGCAGAUGGCAACUCUUCCUUUUACAUGGCAACUGCCGUAGCAUGCUUGUGAGCACAUGGCAACCCUCUCAACUUCCUAGUGUUAGUAUGUGGCAACUUCUAAAGUUUUGAAAUCAUGGCAACUACAUUAGACCAGGCCAUACAUGGCAACUGCAGUUGAGCAACCAUGGCAACUGCAGUUGUCCGACAUGAUCUACAUAUCCGUAUCGCCAUGCUUGCCUUCCACGCCAAGGAAAGUCCCAUCCGGACACGGGACGAAGUCUUCAAUCUUCUAUCUUCAUAGUCUUGGAGUCCGGCCGAUGAUGAUAGUUCGGCUGUCCGGACACCCCCUAGUCCGGGACUCCCUCAGUAGCCCCUGAACCAGGCUUCAAUGACGACGAGUCCGACGCGUAUAUUGUCUUCGGCGUUUGCAAGGCGGGUUCUCCUCCAUAUUCCAUGUGUUUGCCGAAUAGUGUCCGGCUUCCUCAUAAAUGUUGCGCUCCUUGGCUUCUACGUCCAAUAAUGGCCUUCUUCCACGUGUCGUAUGAAUGCGAAAAGCCAGGGUAUUUUUACGUUUUACCCCCUAGCUGCGCGAAUAAGCUGCCCAUAAGAGAGGCGAGGAUCCAGAUCCGAAUCACACCAUCCUCCUUCCGCGAGUACUCAUCGAAGCGCAUCUGACAAAAAUCCAUUCCAACAUGGACAGUCGACGCGGCUCCUCCUCUCGCGCUCCCAACCCUCAGCCAGGAGAUUGGAGGAGAUGUUCAGUCCCGCAUAGCGAGUUAGUGACGCUCCAAGCAGAGGGAUACCUUCCCCCAGCCUUUAUGGUUCCGGUUCGAGCCGGACUGGCCACCUACAAGGGUGGGAAGCAGGUGGAGAGCGUCCCCAAUCCCUCCAAAGGAGAGCGGGUAUGCUUUGUCCCUUACCUAAUAAGGGGACUCGGAUUUCCCAUACAUCCGUUUCUCUGGGGGCUCCUGGAGUUCUAUGGACUCCAACUUCACCACCUCAUGCAUGCCUCCAUUUUGCACAUAGCGGGCUUUGUAGCUCUUUGCGAGCUAUUUUUGGGCAUCGAGCCCCAUUUUGCGCUGUGGAAGAGAUUGUUUUGCGUCGUACCCCGUUCUCACGAGGGGUCGAUAUAUCAAGUGGGUGGAGCCGAAAUAUGGCGCAUCGCCGGGACCGGAUAUCUAUCCGGAACCCCGAAGAAGGUGUCCGAAGACUGGCCUUCGGAAUGGUUCUAGAUGGAAGACGCCCCGCUGCCGGAUCCAGUUCGGAUCGGCCUCCCGGAGUUUAGCAACGCUCCUCUAAAGAAACGCCUGAGUUGGCGCCCGCGGAGCCCUCAACGGGAAGAUGAUAAGAGCGUCCAAUAUCUGAUGGGCCGGAUAAGGUUACUGGCCCAUUCCGGAUUGACCAUGAUUGGAGUCAUGGCCACAUGCAUUAUACGAGCGGUGCAACCGCUCCAAUAUAGGGCCACCCCAUGUGGGAUUUCAACGGGGAGAAUGACGCCACCCGUCAUGGCCGCAAGGGGCCGGGAUCGAUCGCCGAUCUGGUGAAGAUCUUGUCCGGCUUGUACAACGGGGAGAAGGAGGACUUCCUCCGCACGAGUCCAUUGAAUGGAUUCUCCAUGAAUAACCCUCGGAGCUGGGUAAGCGGAUGUCUAUAUAUCCGAUCCGUGCUUUCAAAGUUUAAGCGUCUUACUUUAUGAUUUCGACGCAGGAACUGUGCUGGGAUGUGGAGGGCAUAGAAAGCCCGACUCCACAACCCGAGGAUCUGGGAAGAUCCCUUGAUCCGGCCUCCGAAGAGGAUCCGGACAUAGAGGUGGAGCUGAUUGACGGGGUGUUCCACCAACUCAGCAUAGACAAUGCCCUAGUCGCCAUUACGGCAGACUACCCCGGUUUAUCUCCGGCUUCCCAGGUGAGUACGACCGAGGUCCUGACACCAGCACCUUUUUUAAUGCCCAUUCCUGACCACCGUAUACCAAUGGAGCUUCGCAGGAGGUGCCUUUACGGCGGGAAGCCGAGCCCGCGGCGACUGACCAACCAAGGUCAGUGCGGCCCAGCAGGCGGAAAAGGAGUGCAGCGCGAAUCGAAAUGUCGCCGCAAAGGUAUGGCGCACCCUUGUCUUUAAGGGAAAGACUCUUGGGAGGUAUAGUAAUGCUCAUGAUUCUUCCAGGAGAAAGAGCACUCGCCGGACUACGUCCGGAGAGGUUGCCAACCAAGCCUCCGCCAGCCAGGCUCCAACACCUGGUCCGGGGGGGGAGGCGAGCGCAAGGUGUGAGCUGGAUGCUCCUCCAAUGGAGGAUGCCGACAGGCUGUCCGCCACCAGGUCUGAGGUGGAGAGCGCCAUGAAUCACAGGCGCCGUCGGACAGUUCUUCGUGACACGUGUUUCUCCCCCGAGGCGUUGAAUGCCUUUAAUGCGGGAGACGCGCACCUUCGUGCUGCUCAAGAUGGUUUAACCAGAGCCACGGAGCAGUAUGUGAAAGACAUACGGGUGAGGAAUUUUAAUAACUGUAUAUGCCAGUAGCCCCCGAGACUUAAAAUAGUUAAACUAACUGAUUUAAGGAUCAUUUGUUAUGCAUGAUCUUAUGGAGAAGAAUACCCACCUGUCCCAGGAGCUUCAAGAAUGCAAGGCCCAACUUGAGGCCGCACUAGCCGCCGCCGGGGGAGCCAUAGAGACCCCUUCUGGUAAUACAUAUUUCGAAAAGAUAAAUAGUUUCUGAAGUGUGGCGUGUGCGUUUAGUCUGACAAUAAUAUUGCAGAGGGUGCCGGACUAGAUCCGAACAAGCAACAUCUGUUGCGCCAGCUAAAGGCCGGCGAGAAGGUGCUUAUGAGGGUGCAGCAGGAGAGGAAUAAACUCCAAGAUGUUAAUACCCGGCUGGGCGAGGAACUAAAAGAUGUUCGGGUCCAGCUGUCUAACUCCGUAAAGGAGAAUCAGCGGUUUCGUCGCGGCAUUUACGGUAAGUGCUUGAGAAAACUCUUUUGAAAAGAAGAGUUCGGCGAGGAAGUCGAUUGACAGAAAUAUGUCUGUAGGUGUGCUCACGGGUCGUCCGGCGGAGGAAAUGCCUGGUUCCACGGGUGACCUUCUUCCCGAGCUGCUGCAACUUCACGAACAUGUCCGGCAGGCGAUGAGCGGUGUUGUUCAGGCCUUAUGGCCGUAUGUCUCCCUACCCGAGGGUCUUGGAGGGCUUGCUGACAAGCUUCAGGGAGUGCGGCAACGUUUCCGUCUGUGAAAGAUAUCGGCCUGCCAUCAAGGCGCCAGGGAGGCCUGGGCCAUGGUGAAGACGCGGUACACGAAGGCUGAUCCAAACCACAUGGCCGAGGUCGGACCUGUGGGGCCUGAUGGGAAGGAGAUCCCUAUGAGCCUGAUGUACGACCAAGUAGAGUUGGCCGUGAAAUAUUCCCAACGGAACUGUAAACUAGACAACCUGUUAGAUGGGAUUGAAGAGGAGUACAAUCAGUCAGUUUGACGAUGUAAUUUAAAAUGACAUGUGAAAUGCCUUCUAGCCGGAUUGUAGAUCGUUUGUCUUUGCGGACCUUUUCGCUUCAACCUCGGGACCCAACAGUCAGGAGUGUGUCCGAAUACCCUCGCGGUUAUAAAAAAACCGGGGCAUGCAUGGAGACCAGGCGUAGGGGUCAUAAGUGCUUUAUCAGACAAGUGCCCAACUAGCUAUGUUAUAUUACAUGGUUAGUAAGAAACAUCUUCCAGGGAGAAUAGUUCCGUUAGGGGUUCCUUUCCCUGGGAGGCAUGCCCUAAAGUGCAUGUCCGGACUGCGAAAAGAGCAGAAAAAGCAUCUGGGGGCAGAUAAAUAAAUAAGUAAUACAUCAUCUUUCAAGUCACCGACCGAAUAUUCCCUUAAGAACGCUAGCUUUCGGCUUCACCCAGUCUGAGGUACACAUCCGGCUGACCCGGCAGUAACAAUCGCAGAGGUGCUCCCUUUACCUCCUAGCUGAACAAUCGGGAACGUAGGGGUAAGCACAGGAGCCAGGCAACCCAGCUUGGCCAAAACUUAAGUCAUAUCGAUGCAUAUAAUGGUGAGUAAAAGGUACAUGCGGAAGUAUAACACAUGUGUUGGGCAUGAAGACCGUAUAAAUAAGCUUAUGUUAAAGAAGCCCCCAGGUAUAACGAGUGCGAGUAGCACAUCGAGUGUGUGCGAACAAUGCGCCGAUCAGCCCUCAAAGGCUUUUACUGAAAGAGGGAGGAAAGAAGAGGGAAACAAAAGACAGCGAAAAAAGGAAAAAUAUGAAAGGUGGACGGAGGAAGGGGACGAACUCUGAGUCCGACGCUAGGCGUAGAAUCUUCGGAGAUGGGUUGCGUUCCAUGGGUUCGGCUCGAGUCGGUUGUCAGAUGCAUUGCGCAGACGGUAUGCACCACCGGUAAGGACUUGGUCGAUGAUGAAGGGACCUUCCCAUUUGGGCUUCAGUUUGUCCUUUUUCUUGUCCGGCAGGCGGAGAACUAGCUCGCCAACAUUGUAAGUUUUGGCUCGUACUUCUCUGCUUUGAUAUCUUCGAGCCUGCUGCUGAUAAAAUGCGGAACGGGAUUUUGCCACAUCGCGCUCCUCCUCUAAGGCGUCCAAACUGUCCUGCCGAUCCAACUCGGCUUCUCUUUCUUCGUACAUGCGCACGCGAGGUGAGUCAUGAAUUAUAUCGCAAGGCAAAACUGCCUCUGCGCCGUAUACCAUAAAAAAUGGUGUGAAUCCGGUAGUGCGGUUUGGUGUGGUCCAUAGCCCCCAGAGUACGGAGUCGAGCUCCUCUACCCAGUGCGUGUUAGAUUCCGUGAGGGACCACACUAAUCUGGGUUUAAUGCCGCUCAUGAUUAGACCAUUUUCUCAUUCGACUUGACCGUUAGUUUGAGGGUGAUAGACUAAAGCGUAGUCGAGCUUGAUGCCCAUGUUUUUACACCAGAGUUUAACCUCGUCGGCGGUGAAAUUCGUGCCGUUAUCAGUGAUGAUGCUGUGGGGGACGCCAAAACGGUGUACUACCCCGGAUAUGAAGUCUAUCAUAGGUCCGGAUUCUGCCGUUUUAACCGGCUUGGCCUCUAUCCAUUUGGUGAAUUUGUCCACCAUGACCAAUAAGUAUUUUUGCAUGUGGGUUCCCCCUUUAAGGGGUCCAACCAUGUCAAGCCCCCAGACCGCGAACGGCCAUGUAAUGGGUAUAGUUUUGAGGGCGGUGGGUGGCAUGUGGCUUUGAUUAGCAAAGAGCUGGCAACCGACGCAUCGUUGGACUAAGUCCUGAGCAUCUGCCCGGGCUGUCGGCCAAUAAAAUCCUGUACGGAAGGCCUUGCCUACAAGGGCCCGGGCUGCAGCGCGGUGCCCGCCGAGUCCGGCGUGAAUUUCAUCCAGGAUAUUUCGCCCUUCCUCUUCGGAGAUACACCUUUGGAGGACUCCGGUUGUGCUUUUCUUAUAAAGUUCUCCCUCAUGGACCUUGUAGGCUUUAGAUCGCCGAACUAUGCAGCGGGCCUCAUUUUGGUCUUCGGGAAGUUCCUGCCUAAUUAAGUAGGCUAGGAAUGGUUCCGUCCACGGGGCAAUUACUGCCAUUAUUUCGUGGGCUGAAGGUGUUAUUUCAUUGGCUGAGCCACCGAUUGUGUCAGAAUGUUCCGUGUUGGGUGGUGCAGUUGGUUCCGGGUUGUUAUUUCCGGACUCCUCUUCCCAUAAUACGGAUGGCUUAAAGAGCCGCUCCAGGAAGAUGUUUGGAGGGACGGCGUCACGUUUUGCGCCGAUGCGUGCCAACACGUCUGCUUCCUGGUUAUUAUCUGCCAUCUUGAUUUGAUGGUAUCCGGAGUAUGCGUCGAGAAAGCACAAUGAAUCGUGCCCUGCGGUAGCAUCGAUGAUUUGGUCGAUGCGGGGGAGGGGGAAAGGAUCCUUUGGACAGGCCUUGUUAAGGUCUUUGAAAUCGACACAAAGGAGCCAGGAUUUGUUCUUUUUUGGUACCAUUACCAGGUUUGCUAGCCAGUCCGAAUGUUUUAUAUCUCUGAUGAAUCCGGCUUCUAAGAGUUUAUCUAGCUCCUCUCCCAUUGCCUGUCUUUUGGGUUUGGAAAAUCACCGAAGAGCCUGUUUGACUGGCUUGAAUCCUUUUAGGAUAUUUAGGCUGUGUUCUGCCAGCCUGCGUGGGAUUCCUGGCAUAUCUGAAGGGUCAAAACCGGCGGAUCUCGGGUAGGGGGUCCCGAACUGUGCGUCUAGGCGAAUGGUAAUAGGAGACGAGGGACAUGAUGUUUUACCCAGGUUCGGACCCUCUUGAUGGAGGUAAAACCCUACGUCCUGCUUGAUUGAUAUUGAUGAUGUGGGUAUUACAAGAGUAGAUCUACCACGAGAUCAAGGAGGCUAAACCCUAGAAGCUAGCCUAUGGUAUGAUUGUUGUUCGUCCUACGGACUAAAGCCAUCCGGUUUAUAUAGACACCGGAGAGGGCUAGGGUUACACAGAUUCGGUUACAAUCGUAGGAGAUCUACAUAUCCAUAUCGCCAUGCUUGCCUUCCAUGCCAAGGAAAGUCUCAUCCGGACACGGGACGAAGUCUUCAAUCUUGUAUCUUCAUAGUCUUGGAGUCCGGCCGAUGAUGAUAGUUCGGCUGUCCGGACACCCCCUAGUCCGGGACUCCCUCAGUAGCCCCUGAACUAGGCUUCAAUGACGAUGAGUCCGGCGCGCAUAUUGUCUUCGGCAUUGCAAGGCGGGUUCCUCCUCCGAAUAAUUUAUAGAAGAUUAUGAACACCAGGAUAGUGUCCGGCUCUGCAAAAUAAAUUCCACAUGCCACCGUAGAGAGAAUAAUAUUUACACAAGUUCGAUCUGCUGACGUAUUUUGUGGCGUGGCGUCAUACCACAACCAAGCCUUUAUUUGAAUCGUUUUUAUUAUAUCACCUCUGUGCGUUUAGCGAAGCGGUUUCCUUGGCACGUCCUGUCGAAGCAGAGAUCGUGUUCCCCUUAUUCCGGGAUUCUCAUCAAUACGGACGUGGGUAACCCAACCGCGCCAUUGAUUGCGGUGCUUGGGAGAUAAGCGAGUUUUAUCAGGAUGGUGGGGACGCAUGGUUUCGUCCGCCCAUAUAAGGGGAUAAAGAUCCACCCUUUUACCUACGCCUUCUUCCUCCUUUGCCUAUCCAUCUCCGCGAACUCGAGCUCCAGCGCCCAAGUUCGCACAUCUCACCUCAACCUUCUCCAACUAUGUCCGGAGCGGGAGGCAAGUGGAUGGCCUCCUCCGUUACGGAGGGGCAUAUCCGAAAGCUGCGCAGCGCCGGAUACCUGUCCAGCGGCAUUGCGCACCGGCUCCCCGACGAGGGGGAGCUCAUCCCCACCCCCAGGCCCCAUGAGAGGGUAGUAUUUCUUUCCCAUUUCCUCCAUGGACUGGGCUUCCCACUCCAUCCCUUUGUCCGGGGGCUCAUGUUCUACUAUGGCCUGGAUUUCCAUGAUCUGGCCCCGAAUUUCAUCCUCAACAUCUCGGCGUUUAUCGUCGUGUGUGAGGCCUUCCUCUGCAUCAAGCCCCACUUCGGCUUGUGGCUCAAGACCUUCAGUGUCAAGCUGAAGGUUGUGAAGGGCAGCCAAGCGGAGUGCGGAGGCGCCAUGGUGGGCAAGAUGCCCAACGUUACUUGGCUCGAGGGCACCUUCGUGGAAACCAUUAAGGGGUGGCAACCGGGGUGGUUCUACAUCACCAAGCCGCGUGACCCUGAAUGGGCAGCGGCCCCCGAAUUUAGAUUUGGCAUCCCCAUACGGCUCACCUCCUGGAAGGAGAGCGACCGGAUAUGGGGUGAUUCGGAGGAGCUGACCGGACUUCAAGCCUGCAUCCAAAAGCUAGUGAAAAAGAAGCUCAAGCUUGUCAACGUAGUCCAGGUCAUGCUCAUCCGCCAGAUUCUCCCGUGCCAACAACGGGACUUCAAUAUGUGGGAGUUCGAUCCGGCACAGCACCAGACUUUGAGCGGGCUCUUCGACACUACAUACGAAGAGGCCUGGAGGGUACUGUUUAAGGGCGCCGAGGCUCCCGCAUCCGCUACCGAAGAUCGCGGAUUCAGCUCGCAGCGUCCGGCUAGCGAGGUAAGCGAUUUUGCCCUUUACAGGACGCUUGUUUUCCAUAGUUUGACUCUAUGCGGGAUCUAAACUCCCUCUCCUUUGACAGGACUGGCUGAAGAAGGCCGAGCAGACUAUCUGUCUGGCCCCUUUGCCAGAAGACCCAGCGGACGCCCGCUUAACGGGGCUGCUGGCUCCGGCACCCCAUGUGGUGCCGGAGAAGAAGGCCAAGAAGAAGGCCACGGGCACUCGAAAGAGUUCCCGUUUUCAGGUGUCAUCGGACGAUGACACCGAGGCGGACUCCUCCCACGAAGGCGAGGAGAAGAAAGAGGCCUCUCCCCUAGCGGGGGGAGGGAAGAAAAGGAAGGCCUCCCCAAUGAGGGAGGCCGAAGGGUCCAAGAAGGGAAGGACUCUUCCCCCGGACUGCUCUGCCAACGCCAGCGAUGACGACGAGGAUUGGCCUCCAAGGGCCAAGCCCCUGGCGAGAUCGUAAGUAUCCGGACUCCCGAAUAACUUCAUGAUUUUUAUUUUCGCCACAUGGUGUCUUUCUAAUGCUGCAUGCAACCCUACAGUCCGCCCAAGGAGGAUCUUCCCGCUUCAUCGAGCGGGUCCUUGGGUGCGUCGGAUAUGGAUUCCCUUCCGACCACCUCCUCCCCUCGUGAUGCGGACGAUGCCGAGGUGGGAUCCCGGGAAGGGACCCGCCAGGAGGAGGAGGUCCCGGAGGUGCCGCAGGGCAACCUCCCGGACUUUGCACCGGACUCCGCACCGGAACCUGUAGUGGCUCCGGAGUCCGGCGGGUGGCCCCUUCGUAAGAAGGGCAAGACCGUGACGCCGGUGGCCUCCGUCCAACCGGAGGCGCCGGAUAGCUUGCUGGAGGCACUCAACGGCGCUUCCAUUGAAGAGGAACACCGCACCGUCAUGGGUGCGGUGAUUCAGAAGGUUCAGCUCGCCAAGAGCGGGCUGACCGAAGCUGCAGCAGCCUUCUAACAGGCUUUGAGGUAAGAAUUGUGAUAUAUGUAAAAUAAUACCGCAUAGACAGUAGCCCCUUAUGCUUGGUUCGGUGUUCGGAAAGAAAAGCCGGACUGAGGAUCUAAAAAGAUAUACGCAGGAGUCAUAAAAAUAUGUCAAUAUAGGAUUGCAGGUUGUGCUCCUGACCUCUGCCGCACUGACUGCGGAGGUCAAUACUUUGAAGCAAAGCCUCGAGCGGUCCGAGAACGAGCUCGGCCGUGCCAAGAAGCAACUCGAGGACAAGGAAGGUGAGUAACACCUUAUUAAAAUUGUACAUUACAGAAAAGGAUUUGGUUGCAAGAAAAAUGACAAGGAUAACAUGGGUAUUGCAGGGGCCACGAACGAGGUGGCGAUCUUGAAGGAGGCGGUGGCCGUGGCCGAACGCAAUGCGGCCGCGGAGCGCACCGAACGAGAGAAGCAGGAGGCGCGGGUGGCGGAGGUACAACAAGAGCUCCAGGCUCUCAUGGAAAAACAUGAGAGUUUGGGGCGCGACUCGAAGACUCGAGAGUCCGAGCUUGCAUCGGCUCUUGAGAGUGCCAAAGCCGCUAAGGCCGAAGCGUACAAGGCCCUCCAGAAAAUCGAUGCGUUGAAGAAAAUAGCGGCGGGUAAGGCAUUUUUCAUGCAAAGUAAGCAUGUGAGUGUGAAUUACCUGUCACUUACCCGAAUUCGGAGCUCUCCAGGAGCAUUCACAGAUCUGCCCCGCAGCGUGUCCGAUGCUGCCGCUUUCUACAGUGCCGAGGAGGGGAUCUCGACGGAGAAGGUCUUCUGGUCUCAGUAUGCUGAGGCCGGACAUUCGGUGCCCCUUAGCGACCAGCUUAAGCAGCUGGUCGAUCUCCACAAGGUGGCCGAACAGGCCAUGAAGGGCCUCAUAGUUCUGCUGUGGCCCAAGGAGGCCAUGCCUGGGAGCUACUUCGGCCUGGUGCGGCGGCUGGUGGAUGUGUGUCCAUGGGUUGAAGUCAUCAAGAACUCCGCCUGUAUUGAAGGUGCCCGUCGGGCCCUUGCCCGCGCAAAGGUGCAAUGGGGCAAGAUGGAUGCUGAGAAGCUUGUGACGGACGCGCCACGGCCGGGCAAGGAGUAUCGCACGCCCGAGAUGUAUUAUAAAAGUGUCCUGAAGGGUGCCCGCAUUAUUGCGGGUGAGUGCUCCAAAGAUGUAAUAUUUGAGUAGACUCGCAUUUUGUUAUCAUGUGCGCUGAAAACUUUGUUCAUAUGCGCUAGGCAUCGCUUAUUAAUUUAAAAUAUUACCUUCUGUGCGGCCGUUUAUCAAAUCUGAGAGAUGGCAAGUCGUCGGCUUCAGCCCCCAUGCCACGAGUGCUGGGGUGUUCAGGAUAAAUUUGAGCACUCUUGUUCCCAUUUUUGGGUCCAUCUAGGGAGGCGCUUAACACAACGAACGAGGCAACCGGACUUAUAAUGCUUGAACACUCUCACUUAGCCAUAGAAUUCUAUAAUUUUAAAUUUCGGCGAAGCCCCUAGUCUUCGGAAGGCCAAAUUUGGGGCGCUAUCCAUGCCUGGGCCGGACAAAGCCGGUUCCUCGCUCUAAGUGGCAUAAGUCUUUAGGGACUCAAAAAUAACCCUCUCGAAUAGCGACCGGCUCUCGCCUCAUCAUGACGGUCAGUUUUAGCUUUCUCCACUGAGGCGCUCGCCCAGCUCAACCGGGGCGCAAUCGCAGUGGUUUCCUUGGUUUAUUCGAGUGGACAGUGAUGACAUUCAGAUUAAAAAAUGCUGGAGCCACAUAUCAAAGGGCUAUGAAUUUGAUUUUUCAUGAUUUACUCGGUAUCAUACUUGAAGUUUAUAUUGAUGAUAUUGUUGUCAAAUCGGAUGCUUUUGAAUCUCACUUGGCCGAUUUGCGUUUAGCUUUUGAAAGAAUGAAAAAGUAUGGAUUGAAGAUGAAUCCUUUGAAGUGUGCAUUCGGCGUGUCAGCUGGCAAAUUUUUGGGUUUCAUUAUUCAUGAAGAUGGCAUCGAAAUUGAUCCCAAAAAGAUAGAGGCCAUACAGAAAGUAGAGGCUCCAACAUGCAAGAGAGAUAUGCAAAAGUUCCUUGGCAAGGUCAAUUAUUUGAGAAGGUUCAUAGCUAAUCUGUCAGGGAAAGUUGAUGCACUUACUCCUAUCCUUCGGUUAAAGAAUGAUGUUGAUUUCACUUGGGGGGCAAAACAGCAAGAAGCCUUUGAUAUGAUCAAGAAUUAUUUGUGCACUCCUCCGGUAAUGAAAGCACCCAAACAUAGAGAGCCUUUUAAGCUUUAUAUCGCAGCAGAGGAAGGUGUUAUUGGUGUUGUUUUGACUCAAGAUACCGAAGGAAAAGAGCAUGCCAUUACGUAUUUGAGCAGACGCUUAUUGGACGCCCGAGACAAGGUAUACAUUUAUUGAAAAACUAUGUCUAUGCUUAUAUUAUGCUUGCACAAAAUUGACACAUUACCUAGUGCCGAGUGCUUGUGUAGUAGCUUGUCAAACCGAUGUCAUUAAGUACAUUUGCAUAGGCCAAUUCUUAGUGGUAGAAUUGGCAAGUGGGCUUAUGCUUUGAUUGAAUAUGAUUUGGCUUAUGAAUCUCUAAAAUCCAUGAAAGGUCAAAUUGUUGCUAAUUUCAUUGUUGAACAUUGGAUUAAUGACAAGCAUGAUGUUGAUAUGAACCUUGUUUCAUUAGUGCCAUGGAGAUUGUACUUUGAUGGUUCAGUUUGUAGCAAUGGCCAAGGUGUUGGUAUUGUUUAUAUAUCUCCUCAUGGUGCUGUUUUUGAAGCCUCAUGCCGCUUAGAAUAUGUUUGCACAAACAAUCAAGCCGAAUAUGAAGUAUUGUUAUUCGGCCUAGAAAUGUUGCUUGCUAUAGGUAUUACACAUAUUGAGGCUUAUGGUGAUUCGUUACUAGUGGUGCAGCAAGUAUCCAAAGUCUUUCAGUGUUUGAACGAAUCACUUAAUGUUUACCUUGAUAAAUUUCUAGAUAUAAUUUCUACUUUGGAUUGUUUUAGCAUUGCUCAUAUAUCUAGGCAUGACAAUUGGAAAGCAAAUGAUCUGGCACAACAAGCAUCUGGAUAUCAUGUUGAUCAUGGCAUGUUUCAUAUCUCUCAAAGACCGAUGUCUUGUCUUGCCGAUAUGGGAGAGGCCGGACCUGAAUCUACUGAUUCGGCCACUAACAAAAAAUCUAGUGCAGGUGACAAUUCCGACUGGAGGAAGCCCAUUGUUGAUUACUUGUGCAAUCCGAGUGAAAGGGUGGACAGGGCUGUUCAGCGUAUGGCUUUCAAGUAUACAAUGAGAGAUGAUGGUCUUUAUCGCCGAACAGUCGAUGAUGUUCUUCUAAAGUGUUUGGAUGAGGACCAGGCAAGAGUUGCUAUGGGAGAAGUACAUCAAGGUAUUUGUGGCACUCACCAGUCGGCUCCCAAGAUGAAAUGGUUAUUGCGACGUGCUGGGUUUUAUUGGCCGACUAUGAUUAAUGAUUGCUUCAGAUAUUAUAAAGGGUGUGAAGCUUGUCAAAAGUUUGGUGAUAUUCAAUUGGCUCAUGCUGCUAUGUUACAUCCUAUUAUCAAACCGUGGCCUUUCAGAGGUUGGGGUUUAGAUUUCAUUGAACAAAUCCACUCGUCUUCCUCAAAAGGGCAUCGGUUCGUAUUGGUGGCGACUGAUUAUUUCACUAAAUGGUCUGAAGCAGUACCUCUCAAGAACAUGACACAUACGGAGGUAAUUCAAUUCAUAACCGAGCACAUUAUUCAUAGAUUCGGUGUUCCUCAAAUGUUAACUACGAAUCAAGGUUCAUCUUUCAUGUCACACCAAGUCAGAGAGUUUGCCGAAUCUUAUAACAUAAAGUUGCUCAAUUCCUCUCCGUAUUAUGCCCAAGCUAAUGGACAAGCUGAGUCUAGCAAUAAAAUUUUAAUCAAGCUCAUCAAGAAGAAGAUUGAGGAUAAUCCGAGAAGAUGGCAUGAGUUGUUGUCUGAAGCUUUGUGGGCACAUCGAAUUUCAAGGCAUGGUGCUACCAAGGUGACUCCAUAUGAGCUUGUAUAUGGCCAAGAGGCUGUUUUACCAGUGGAAGUAAAUUUGAAUGCUUUGAGAAUAGCCAAACAAAAUGAUUUAUCGACAGUAGACUUUUAUAACUUGAUGAUGGACAAUAUUGACGAAGUUGCCGAUAAACGUUUGGUGGCUUUGAAGUCCAUAGAGAGAGACAAGUUGAGGGUUGCAAGAGCUUACAAUAAGAAAGUUAAGUUGAAGAAUUUUCAAGUUGGUGAUCUCGUCUGGAAAGUGAUUCUGCCGAUUGGUUCAAGAGAUAGAAAAUUCGGGAAGUGGUCUCCAAGUUGGGAAGAUCCUUUUAGGAUUACAAGAGUUGUUCCCGGAAAUUCAUAUUUGGUGGAAUCAAUACAAGGGGCAUUGUUACCCCGAGCUCUCAACGGAAAAUAUUUGAAGAAGUACCACCCGAGUGUGUGGCAGGAAGCCUGAGUAGGCAAUGGCCGAUAUACGAUUAUCGCCCAUAGCACAAACAUGGCCGAUACAUAAUUAUCGCCCUGAGGAAAAUAAAUGGCCGAUGAAGGGUUGACAUCGUCCUUAGAACGAACACUAUGCAUAUUAUUUUUCGGCGUGCAAGCUUUGCCGAAAAAUAGGGGGGCAUGUGUUGACGCCUGAUUUUGGCAAGAUACAGAGUGAAAGGGUUUUCAGCAUGAAAAGUUUCACAUCACCGAGUGGAACAACUUUGAUGUUUAGGUUAUCAUCGUCCAACUCCAUCUUAGGGGCCGAAAUUGUAUUCCGAGUGGCAGAAUUCAAUAUUCCGAGUGGUUUUCGGACGAUCAUGCCUUCAAGACGACCUCGGAUGAAGGAGUACUCUAAAGGAAUUGUCUUCGUCUCGUCGAGGCAUUCAAUUUUGAUAUAUAAAUCAUCUCAAUCCGAGUUCAUAUGCAAAAGUUAGAGGCGAUACACUGCAGACCGAAGCUGAAUGGAAAUAUGGCGCGAAGUACUAGACACCUUGUCUGAUGGGUCGCGCGAGCAAUUAGGCCCUUAAGAAGUCCAUGAAUCGGAAAAACUUCAACACGAGAAAGUUUCAUCUCGUCAAGCCGAUCGAUUUUCAUAUAUAAUUCGUCUCAAUCCGAGGUCGUAUGGGACCUGAGGAGACAAAUCAAGAUCAGCCUAUGUUUUCGAUCGAGUGAAAAGCUUGCCGUCCGAGUGAAAACUUACCGGUCGAGUGAAAGCUUAACUUUCGAGUAAAAACUUACCGAUCGAUAAAAAGCGUAUCAUCCGAGUGAAAAUUUACCGGUCGAGUGGAAGUUUGCUGACCGGAUGAACUUAUUAUUAUCCGAAUAAAAAUAUAGUCAUCCGAGUGAAAGAUUGUUUUCUGAGUGAAAAAGUCCAGUCGGAUGGUCCGAGUGAAAGUCUCUAAUAUCCGAGUGGAUGAGCUCGAAUCCGAGUGAAACUGAACAUGUGCCCGAAAGUUUAUCAAGAUGACCUCGGAUGAAGAAGUGUUCGAUACAUAAGUUAUGCAUAUCAUCAAGACGUUAAACUUUGGUUUUGGAGUCAUCAUCAUCAGAGAUAGUAUAUGGCCUACAAGUUCACUACGAGACUCGGAUAAUCCAGUCUACUGCAAGACCGAGUCCGACUGGAAGGUAAAGAUGACCUCGAGGAGUAUUCAAGAUGGCCUUAUUUGAAAAAGUAAUCAACAUGAGAGUUGUUCGUAUCAUCGAGGCACACAAGUUUGAUAUUUGGGCCGUCUUGAUCGAAGAUCAUAUGUAAGCUCGGCGGCCCGCGCAAGAAGGAAGAUAAAGUUUGAGCCAGAUUCAGACUGAAUCCGAGUUAGAAUAGAACUAGGACUCUAGGACGCGAAUUGAUGUAAUUUUUCUUGUAAGGAAAGUCUAGAUGAAUCCUUUACUUGUACGGGAAGUCCAACCACCUCUUAUAUAUGUUGGGGGUGACGGCCGAUUAAACACACAAUCGAACAAAUCAAUAUACUACUUUUACAUCUUCGUUUUAUCUCUCCACCGUUUUUCUCUCUCGUUCUUCGCUGUUCUUCGUGUUUGAGAGCUGCGAAUCCCGAGGCUCUAGGGGCGAGCGAAUCGACCUAGAGCAGCCCAUAGCCGCCGCAAUCCCUGACGGGGUCCCUCCCGGGUGCGCGGGGUUUCGGGUCUGCAAAAGCGUCCGCUGACUGUCUUGCGUAUCGCGCUGUCGGUCGGGUCUCCUUCGACGUGAGCUACGGUGCAUCACCCCCGGCGUCGAGGGUACAUGUGACGUGUUCGUGUGUCAACAGGGUUAUAGGUAUCCAUCUAUAUUUUUAAGGAGAAUAUGCGAAUAAAGGCAUGGCCGAAAACCGAGAGGAAGACCCCUCCUUUUAUUGCCGGAAUACGAUCUGAACCCGGGUGGUGAGGUUGUACAUCCAUAGACCUUGCUUUCUAGAUAACAAACGUGGAUAGAAAGAUGAUGUAGAGUUGUAGACAGAUGCAUAUGGGGCCUAAUUGAGGUAGAAGCUAGCUAUAUAUCUCUAGUUAGGUUGACGUGCAUGGGGGCCAUGAGUGAGGUGAUGCAUCAUGGACGUGUCAUGGUCAGGCUAGACGAGAUCGAGCAGCCGGAUCUCUCUCUACCAAGGUUGAUAAUAGAUCGACGUGGACACAUGCACGCGUUGGCCUCCAACAGAUAUGUACGUAUGCACCACUUUAUUUUGCUUUUCUUUGCUCCCCCAUGUUGGCUUACCAGUCGCCCAUGACUGUCCUUAGGUUCUUGCCGACACAUGGGAACUUGUUGCUAGCUAGGAUCCACGCGGUUCUAUGUACUGUGCAUCGAUAGAAGCGCAGGCCGAAAGAGAAACGAGAAAGGAUUUCUUUCUUUAUUUUGUGGAAAGAACUUCCAAUUUCACUAUCACAAAAAUUAUUGACAGUUUCCUCAAGAGAGAAUGGAUCGCCAAAAGGUGGCUUUUCUGCGAACCAAUCUGUGCUUGGAUUGUUGGAGAGACUGUGGUAUCCCUAGCCCAUCAGGGUUCAAAUUCUGGUGCUCGCAUUUAUUCAUAUAUUUAUUUCAGGAUUUUCGGCGAUGUGCAUUCAGUGGGAGGAGAUGUUCCCGUCGACGACGAGGCGCCUACAAUGGCUUCGUAAAUGUAGGGUGUGCGUGCGUUCAUUUUUUUUGAAACGGAGGCAAAAGUAUUCCCUCAUCCAUUAAUUAAGAAGAAGAGAGCUGCUCCGUUAAUUUACGAAAAACUAGGCAAAAACCGUUACAAACUUGCUCAAGACAAUUGAGCAAGCACACACAUACAAUCAUGCCAACUACUCCCGAAUCAUGGAGACACACGACCACAUAGGCACGCCGACAAACACACCCAACACAAUUUUAAUGUCACUUCCCAACACAUGGGUCUCAACAUCACAAAGAAAACCCCAUUGAGUCGUUGGAGUGACUGUAUGCGCGUGUAUAUAUGACCGCUUGUGUCUGUACUGAUGCUCAAAAAAAAGGUGACCUUUCUUGUAGUAUUAUUGACUUGAUCAUAUACUACUUCUUUCGUUCGGAAUUAUUUUUCGCGAAAAUGAACAAAAAUGAAUGUAUCCAGAACUAAAAUGCAUCUUGGUACACUCAUUUCUUUGACAAGUAAUUCCGGCUGGAAGGAGUACUUUCGAUUGAUCAAUGCUCAGUUUUGAUGACUUAUACCUGCACCCUCUGUCACCUACUUUAUUUUUAUUUCCGCGGUGCUGUCGCCUAAGGUAGUACUAGUUAAUUAACCAGUUCGACAUGAUUCGAGGAUGUCAUUCGCCAGCUGAUCCCUUGCUAAUCCGGACAAAUUUCAGAGGCCGGCCGAUGCAUAACAAGUUAGUAGUAGUACUACUACAUAUAGGAUGGGUGUGAACUUAAUAGUGCUAAAUUCUUCCAUCCUUUUGAGUCGUAAAACAUAUUGAAUCCAAAUAACUACCCAAUCAUUGAGAGAGCAUAUACUCCCAUCCUAGCAACAGAUGCUCUCAGUGUACACAUGUGCUGAUGUAAUGUACAUACCAAAACAGUGACAUUUGAAUCUUGAACUUUGUCAAUGGUGGUGAUCACUGGCAUACCUGUCACCGAAUCUGCUUCUUAAAAAAGGUGGUCAAAAUGUAUAAGGAUAUGCUAUAUGUCACUGGUGUGAUGUCUGCGCAAGCAACGACGUAAACGUAAGUUUUUUUUUGAGGGGUGAUAAAAACUUUAUUCAUCAAAAUCCACAUGAAGUGGGACACGGUUCUGGUUGUAAGGAACGCCAAAUCACACGUGGCGACCAGGACCUCUACUAAGAGAAAACUUUGCUAAACUAUGUGCUUCAUAAUUUGUAGCACGACCCUCGAAAGUAAAGAUACAUUGAAAAGUUGCAGCUUUGAGUUUGAUCUCGCUAAUUAUGGCUCCAUAUCUCCCUCUUGCGCUUUGAUCGAUAUCUGCCACAACCUGUUUACAAUCCGAAGCAAUAACAAAACUUCUGAUAUUCAAAUCCUCCGCCAAGCACAAUGCCUCGCGGCACGCCAAGGCUUCCAGUGACGCUGGAUCUGUCACUCCCUCGGUAACCAAAGCCGAUGCCCCAAGAUAGUUCCCUUCUCCAUCUCUGCAUACUGCAGCCGCCGAUCCUCCUUUUCUAGCGCAGGCGCUGGCGUCGACAUGUAUUUUGCAAUGUCCAGGAGGUGGCCUCUUUGGGCUCUUGCGUACUUCACUUGUCGGAGCCCCACUCUGCCUUGGGCGAAUAUUUCCAUCAUUGACAGUGCCAAGUUCAUCAAUGAACCUGUUGAUGAAUAUAUGUGUCUGGUGGGGGCUUUGAAAGAUUGCCUCGUGAAUGGCUUUGCGGCGGGCAUGCCAGAUUGACCACAGCGUGAUCGCCAGACGGACGAACUUGUCGUGCGGCAAGCUUUCCAUCAAAGUAAACAACCAAUUUUUUGCAUUUGGCUCAGUGGUGGCUAUGAUUGUAUGUGUUAGUUCCUCUUCUCCCAACGCCCAAACACUUCGCGACGCGGUGCAUUCCAGCAGCGAGUGUCUCCACGAGUCCUGAACCCCGCAGAAGCCACAUCGGCUAGAAUCUGUCAUAUGGCGGUGCGCCCUUAUAUCAUUUGUCGGCAACAAUUGCUUGGAUAAUCUCCAUAAGAACAUCCUGACUUUGCCCGGGACUUUGGUAUUCCACAAUGACUUCCAUGCCCCUUUUUCCGCCCCACUGCUUGACGGGCCUGCCCUUCCCUCCAACCAAGCCUCUCUAUGCUGCCUGGUUGCAAUAAGCAUUUUAUACGCUGACUUCACUGAGAAAAUACCAUGUUUUUCGUAGUGCCACGCCCAAAAGUCAUCCAUAUUCCGAGUACAUAACGGAAACCCAGUAUCAUGUCUGCAUCCAUUGGCAUGAAAGUGGACUGCACCACUUGCAUGUUGCACGCUGCCGUUGCAGGAGUUAUAAGUUCAGAGACAAGAGUCGGGGGGUUUUGUGAUAGACACCCAUAUGGUCUAAUCAUUUCGUCUCUUGGCAGCCAAUUGUGUGUCCAUAUGUUUGUUGUCACUCCAUUCCCAAUUCGUCUAAUCAGCCCUUGUUUCAAAAUAUCCCUUCCCUCCAAAAUUGCUCUCCAUACUUGACUAGGUCGACCUCCCAGUUCAGCAUCAAGAAUGUCAGAAGAUGGAUAGUAGAUGCUCUUCAGGAUACGGGCACAUAGUGUGUCUGGAUUUUGCAGCAGUCGCCACGCUUGUCUUGCCAACAUGGCGAGGUUGAAAAGCUCAAAGUCUUUGAACCCCAAACCCCCCAUGUCUUUAGGUUGCGUCAUAGAUUUCCAUGAGACCCAAUGUGGUUUCCGCUUUCCUUCCUUGCUACCCCACCAAAAUUUCCGGAUGAGCAUGUUGAGAUGUUCACACAACCCUUUAGGUAGCUUGAAACAUGACAUCGAAAAAACGGGCACUGCUUGAGCAACAAACUUAACUAGCACUUCCUUGCCUGCUGAUGACAUAGUGCUCUCUAUCCACCCCUGAACCUUGCUCCAUAGAUGGUCUUUGAGGUAUUUAAAAGCACCAUUCUUAGAGCUACCAACAUCCGAGGGCAUCCCCAAAUACUUCUCAUUCAGAGUUUCGUUAGGGACAUUGAGUGUUUCCUUUAUUCCCCCCUUACUGAGUCUGGCACUCCUUUGCUGAAGUAUAUUGAAGAUUUUGAAUAGUUAAUACGCUGCCCAGUUGCCUGACAAUAAGUAUCAAGAACUUGGUACACCUCGUUAGCCCCCACACCAUUUGCCUUGAAAAACAGCAGGCUGUCAUCUGCGAAUAGGAGAUGGUUCACCGGUGGCGCCGUAGGUGCCACCUGUAUACCAUGAAGAUUGGAUGACUCACUUUUAGAUUUUAAGAGGCACGAAAGGCCCUCUGCUGCUAACAAGAACAAGUAUGGAGAUAUCGGGUCCCCCUGUCUGAUUCCUCGUGAAGGAGUAAAUUGGUGAAGCUUCUUCCCAUUAAAGAGAACAGAGAAUUCAACUGUUGUUACCAGGCUCAUGACUAUGUCAACCCAUCGGUCAGUAAAACCCAGCUUGAGCAUAAUGGCCUUUAGAUAAGCCCACUCAACCCUGUCAUACGCCUUCAUCAUAUCCAGCUUGAGAGCACAUGAUUGAUUUUUCUUUGCUUUAUUCCUCUUCAUAAAAUGCAAGCACUCAUAAGCCGUGAUUAUGUUAUCUGUGAUUAACCUGCCCGGUACAAAAGCUGAUUGUUCGUUUGAGAUGAUAUCCGGCAGAACCAACUUUAAUCUGUUGGAGAUUACCUUUGAAGCAAUUUUGUAUAAAACAUUGCAUAGGCUAAUUGGGCGAAACUGUGACAAAAGUGUUGGGUUUUUUUACCUUCGAAAUGAGCACCAAAAUCGUUUCAUUAAUGCACCUUGCUGAUUCAGUUCCCUCCACAAUCCUGAGAACCGCUUGAGUGACUUCAUCGGUGCACACCUCCCAAUGGUGCUAAAAAAAUGUGCUGGAUAUCCAUAUGGUCCUGGAGCCUUGGUGGGGAACAUUUGGAACAAAGCUGCCUUAACUUCAUUCUGGCUAUAGGGAGCAUUAAGAAGAUCAUUCAUCUCAUGUGUUACUUUAGUUGGUACUGUCUCUAGGACCUGAUCCAUGUUAUGAACUCCUUCUGAUGUGUAAAGCUGCUGAUAGAAAGAAGUGGCCAUUUGUUCCAUCUCCGGUAUAUUCUCUGUUAGUUCACCAUCUGGUUUUUGGAGUGCUUUGAUCUGGUUCUUCCUUCUCCUCUGACUCGCUCUGAGGUGAAAGAAAUAUGUGUUUUUGUCUCCAUGGAUUAGCCACUCCACCCUUGCACGCUGGCGCCACAAGAUUUCCUCUCUAUGAUAAAGUUCAGUUAAUCUCUCAACAAUUCUUAUUUCUACAUGCGUUGGUCCUAUCCGGCUGGGAUCCGACCGAAUCUCCUGUAGGUCUCGCUUUAGGCGCUGAAUCUCUUGCCUGAUGUUCCUGAAGUGGAUCCUGUCCCAGUUUGUCAAAUCAUCCGAAAGCACAGACAGUUUGUCUUUUAUCGCCUGGACUGAUCCCCCCCCACCGCUGUUCCAUGCAUGCUGUACCACAGGCGCUAGGCCCGAGUCCCUCUCCCAGGCCACCUCAUAUUUAAAACUCCAUGGGGCCCUGUUGCAUGCAGUUUCAUGCACGUACCGGACAUAAAGCAGAGCAUGGUCGCUUGUUGCUGCAGUUUUGUGCUCCAAAGUAGCCGAAGGGAACACUAGUGUCCACGCCGGAUUUGCAACUCCACGGUCUAGCCUCACCCUGGUAUAUGUUCCUCCUGCAACUUUUUUCUCAAAGGUCCAAGGGUUGCCCAUAUAUCCAAUGUCCGAGAGCCCACACGUAUCCAAGGCGUCUCUAAAUGCAUCCAUUUGGGCCUGACUUCUAUUCCCCACUCCAUCAUGCUCAUGAGCGUACAAAACCUCAUUAAAAUCACCCAGAACUAGCCAUGGCACAUCGUCUGCGCCUACGAUACCCCUCAUCAUAUCCCAGGUCUUAUAUCGUUCAAUAACCUGUGCUUCUCCAUAAACAAAAGUCACCCUAGUUCGGACAUCAACUAGGUCAGUGAUCAAUGUAUCAAUGUGAUACUGUGAAUAACCAACAAUCUCAAGAUUUAUUUCAUCAUUCCAAAAAACUCCUAGGCCACCACUACGGCCAGAACUGCUAACAUCAUAACUCUUGUUGAAUCCUAAAGAACCAGCCAAGUUUUCAACUCUCGUUCCCUCUAUUUGAGUUUCAAGGAUACAAAGUAUAGAGGGGGCAAACUGCUUCGUCAUUUCACGAAGCUCACGAACUGUCACGGGAUUGCCAGCACCACGACAGUUCCAGCAUAGUAGACUCAUUGCACUUGGCGCGACCCCCCUUGGAGGCCCGCCACACGCGCAUCGGUUUUGUUUAGAGCUGUGUUCUUGCCAUUAACCCUAUCAUUACUUGAGGAGGAUACUUUGUUCCGCUUUGUCUCCUGUUUCGACGAUGGGCUCAACGGAUCCUCCAGGGGUGGGGGCAUUAACAGAAGCUUGCUUGCACCAUCUGCUAUGGCCGGUUUCAUAGCUGAAGUCUUCGGUUCCUGGGCCGUAGCACUUCUCUUUCUAUUCCCAUCCACCUCCUCCAUGUAGAUGUCCGAAUCAACCGAGGUGUUAUGCUGUUCUUGGCCACGUCCUCUGCCUGUUCCGCCCGCUUGGCCCCUGCCUCGGCUACCUCUAGUGUUGUUGCCCCCUUGUCCUCGUCCCUCCCCUAGGCCUCUACCUGGCCCUCUAAACCAUGCUGCCCUCAAAUCUUUGAACACUAGGGCCUUUGGGAGAUGGACACCAUCACCACACUCCUUGAAAAGGUGUCCCAAAUAGCCACAGACUGCGCACCAAUCAGGUAGACGCUGGUAUUUGACUCAAAAGAUAAGCCGCUGCACGGUGUCCUUCUUCUUUAUUACCAGAGAAACUACAUUUUUGAGGGGCUUUGUGACAUCAAUUUUAACUCGUACCCUAACAAAAUUACCCUCAAAAUCAUGCGAACUUGGCUCAGCGUAGAUGAACUCGCCGAUGGUGGAUGACAAGGCCUUGAUCUUGGAAAAGUAUCUUUCGGGGAAAUCAUGGAUCUGAAUCCAGAUGUUAACUUUAUUGAGCUCUAUCGUCGACGGCUUAGUGAAGCCAUCAUACAGCGCCAACACAACUGUCUUCCCUUUGUAAGCCCACGGUCCAUCCUCCAUCACGCGCUCCCAAUCUCCCAGACAGCCGAAUUGCAUUGUGUACAGGUUCUCCUCGAGCGGCUUGAUCUUAACUUCUUUUGCUAGGUCCCACGCCACCCUCAUGUUCCUGUAGAACCAGAAUUGGCUGUAGCUUUUCUCUGUAUGAACCCUAGCAAUGAUCAUCCAUCGGGUAGCCUCUGCUGGCAUCUCACCACAACCACGUCCUCUAGUUCAUCUUCUUUCAGCCCUAGCUCUUCCAUCAUCGCUUCUAGAUCAGAGCCGGACGCACCGGUUCCCGAUCCCGAAGCAGUUUCAUCCAUCGUGCUCUUGCCCGAGAAAGUUGUCCGCGGGCGUGGGGUUCCCAAGCUGUCCUCCCGUCCUCGCCGUGAAAACAGCCGAGAGAGAGGAGGGAAGGGGAGGCUGGUGCUCUACGGUUGCGAGAGACGAAAGAUCGCCCCCGUUACCGAGAGGAGAGAUAGCCCUCGCAAGGUCUCCACGUCGUUCGCCAAGGCGCCGUCGGGAGGAGCCGAAACCCUAACGAGAGGGGAAAACUUUCUGCUUAGACGUAAGUGGAACCAGCAGGGGUGCGUUUGAUAGCCUCAAUCACCCCCAAAUAGGCCCACUGGAGUACAAUAAAGACCCGGGCCUGGAUCACAUGCGCUUGAACCUUAAAAGAGCCCAUAGCUUGGCUGGCUAGGAACGCUCGAAUCGAAGCGUUGCCUAGAUUUGGCGCACAGUGUUGCGAGCCUCUUUCAGCUAGUGACCAAUAGAUAGCCAGCCUGUACUUUCUUGCCGGCACAUCGAAACUUGUAGCUAACUACGCGGUGGUACAUACUGUGCAUCGAUGGAUGCAGGGGCCGAAAGAGAAAUAAUAAAUGAUUUAUUGUCAUAAAAAGUUACAGGCAGAUUCACCAAGAGGGAAUGGACAUUGUUAAAAAGUGAUUUUGCUUGCAUUGACUUGAGUAUAUGCAUAACACCAUGAAAAAGGCCUGAAGUUGGUUAGCACCACAAGUUGAUGUACAUUAUUCAAGACUAGGGGGAGGGGGUGGUGUGGGGGACGAGAUCACGUUUGAUGACAUACAAACACCGACUCCCUUUAACAAUAGAGAUACAUAACACCAUGGUUACAGGCAGUAGUACUAUUUCUGAUUAAUCAAUGAUCAAUCAGUUGCUGAUGACUUGUACAGUCCAUAGUAUCACCUACUUUAGUUUUCUUCUUCUUUGUAACUCUCUCAAAGUAUCACCUACGUCAGUCCUAGUAGUUAAUUAAUCAAUUGACAUGCAUGAUUCGAGGAUGUUAUUCGCCAGCUGAUCCUUUCCUAAUCCAGACAAAUUUCCGAGGCUGGCCGAUGCAUAGCUAGUUAGUAUGUUAGUAUAGUACAUGUGUGAACUCAAUAGUGCUAACUUGGUUUUGUGAAGGUUGAUUAAUACCCAAUUGACUGAGAGAGCAUAUAAGAUGGAGCAGAUGCUCUCUAGUGUACGCAUGUACAUACGAAAGCAGUGACAUGUGAAACCUGGACCUCUGUCAAUGGUGGUGAUCACUGCCAUACUUGUCACCGAAUAUGCAUCUUAAAAAACGAUGGUCCAAAGGCCAAAGGUAUAAUGAUACUCUAUGUGUCAGUGGCGCGAUGCCACACGCGAGUAAUGACAUAAGAGCAUCUUAGCAGACCACACAUCCCGCCGACCCGCAAAACGCGUUUGCAGUUCGCGAAAAAACGGUUUUGCGGCCGGCGCGAACGGCCGCAGAGGCAGACCCUGCAAAGCCGACAUGUAUCCUCUUUUAUGGAUCGGCUUUGCGGGGUCUGCCUCUGCGGCCGUUUCCUCCGACCCAUAAAACAUCAAUUUGCACCUCAAUUAGUAUUUCUUUGCAUUUUCAACCACAUUGGAUACAUAGGACAUCACCAAAUCUUUGCUACAAUAGCAAGACCAAAGAAAACAAAGAACCACAAUUAUGCAUUUUAGAAGAUUUCCAACUUUCAUAACUGCUCCUACUGGUUGAAGCAAUAUCUUCUCCAUGCACUCAUUGUUGAUCUGCGGAUUCUUGAUCCUGCAUUCUUCAUUCUUCUUCUUUGGUUCUAAAGAAGUAGACGUUGCUUCCCCUCUAGUUGCACAUGCAUGCGCUUCAUUGCCUUCGAUUGUACUAAGGAGUGCACAAACGUCUAUCAAUUUUCUUUCUAUCAAUAAAUCAAUAUAUUCGCCUUCCCAAAACCAAAAUGAGCAUCCAUCUUCCUACACGCAUGAUGAUGUUCGAAAUGAGCUAACAUAAUGAGCUAUCAAAAUGAGCCGAAUGAAAACAGCAUGUACCCCGUCAUUUUCGCAUUUGAAGAAGACCCAUCCUGGGUGCUUCGGCGUGCCCGAAGUCAGUUGUAGCACUGUCCGCGUGCAGUCGUCGCACUGUAUGAGCGGCAUUGGCGAGCCACAGAGCCUUUGCGCGAGGGACGAGCCCGGCGGCCGGCCGGUCGAAUCCAUGCCGGCAAACCGUUGGCGGCGGCGAGAGGACGAACCAGCACCUGCAUGCGGCGAUGUGCCUUUGUCGGGGCUGCGCGAGGUGCUCCCCGACCAUUCCAUCGCUUGGCGGAACCGCCGGCGGCCGAGAAGGCUAAAUCUGGCCGUCCGCGAUGAAGGGCCGCAGAUCCACAAGUUUCUGGCCCACCGACGCAGGAGGAGGGGGAGGGGGAGGGCAACCUCGUGCGUGUGGCGGCCUUUCGGCGUGCUCCCGCCGGCUACUUUCGCCAGAAUCUUGGGCGGCGGCGGGGCGAGGGAAGAGGGGAGGUGGGGUGUGGGGAAAAGCGCGGGCUGAAACGUCCUCCCCACCAACCGCUCCCGCUAUAUGCAGGGCACCAACGGGCCGAGGGGGGGGGGCGCGUAUUCGCAGGUUGGUAAAGUUUUGCCGCGCCCCUCAAAAACUUUUGCCGGCCCGGCCGCGUUUGCGGGAUCUGUUCGGGCAGGAUUUUCCGUGUCGACCCGCAUUUUGGCGGUUAUUUUACGGAUCGGGUCCUUUUAUGGAGUCUGCUAGAGUUGCUCUAAACGUAGGUGGAACGAGCAGACGUGUAUUGCUCGUGCAUGCAGGUGCCACUUUGAAAGCAAGCUACAUCUCACCGGAAUAUAAAAGGGAAAUACGAAAAGGAAGGUGGCUAGGUCAACAAUUAUUACCCAGUCCUCUUCUACUGGAGACACUCCAGAUGACGUCAAGGCAGAGCUACAGUGCUGAAUUUGAACCCGGCUGUUUGAUUCCCUGACACCCACCAUCCAUAUAUGCAAAACAGCGAGCCAAGUGUCGAGCUAAACGCUAAACCAGUCCCAAAAAUGUCAAAACAAAUUAUGCAAAUACAUAUGCAUAGUCAUCAAGUAUGUAUAAAGUUUCAUCAACUAAUUUGACUAUUUGCAUUCUACACAAAAAAGACAAAUACCAGUCCCAAAAACAAAAAAGAAAAGGCCUACUUUACUUUAUGUAUUUGUCUUUUUGUGUACAUCACAUAUGAACAUAUAUGUUUAUAAAAUUUUAUACAAGUAUACUACAAACAUAUGUGCAUACUUUUUUUCAGAUUUUUUUGAGAUCUGAAAAAGUAUUUUCAUUGAAAGAAAAAUAAAGAGCUCUAUGGUGCUCGGGUGCUGCUUGCACUUUUCGUGAUGUUAUGCCAUAUUAGGACAAACCAUGAGCAAAGGCCAACGUAGUAAGCAAAGAUGCAUAUGCAAUGUGCAUUAGUGUCCCCAUCAAAUGUCAAGGGGCAAUGUAGUUAUGCAAGACACAGUCGUUUUGUCUUUUGACAAAAACAAACUUUACAACUAGAACAAUAUUGUAGCAGUCCCAUGCUGAAACAUGCCAACUAGAACAAUAUUGUAUGCGCCAGUUCUGUUUGGCAUGUAGGUCACUAGUUAGCGACUUGGCGCAUACCCCCUCCCCACCCCUUCCCGCGGGUAGCUUCCAGGCUACGCAUAAUUUGAGACAACCCAACUAUUUUGGUAUUUUUCUUUCAGUUUUUUAAAUUUUAUUCUUUAUUUUCUACUUUGCCUUUCUUUUUCCGUUUCUAUUUUUCUGUUCUUUUUUCCAUGUUUCUUUUACAUUAUUAAUUAUUUUCCUCAAUGUUUUUCCUUAUCAUUUUACCAAAAUCUUUUCCAGUUCUGAAACAUCUUUUUGAAAUCUGGAACCUUUUAAAAAACGAACAUUUAUUGCAUGCCUGAACAUAUUUAUGACAAUUUGAAUUUCUUGAAACACUUAAACAUUUGUGCGGUGAAGAAUCGAUGAUUAUUUUUCCGAAUUGGGGAUAGAUUUUUGCAAUUCAAGAACAUUUUUAUUCUUUGAAAAAACAUAUUUUUUCAAAUGAAUGAACAUUUUUGGAAUGCAUUAUUAAUUAAAUUUCUUGAAACACUGUUUUAAUUCAUACAUAUUUUUUAUAUAUUUUAUAAAACAUUUAUGACCAUUUUUCUGAAUUUGUAACCAUUUGUUCACAUUCAUGAUUCUUUUAAUAGACCAAAGUUUUUUUCAAAACUAUGAGCAUUUUUUGAUUUCGCUUAUUUUGUUUCAAAAUCAUGAAUUUUUAAUAUUUGAAUGUAUUUGAGAUCAUGGACAAUUUCUUGAAUUGACGAAAAUUAUGAUUUUUUUAAUAAUUGAUAUCUUUAAUAAAUUUCAGAAUUUGAAAAUACUUGAGACUUUAUGAAAUCUUGAAUUAUUUAGAGAUGGGAAAACAACAAAAUAAAAAGUAAUAGAAAAACAAAAACAGAAAAAAGGAAAAGAAAACUAUAGGGCCCACAUGUGCGCUCGCAGGGUGCUGGGGGUGGGCAUGGGAAGAGAGUGAGCGUUGGUUGGUUUACAUCCUUGCUUCUUCCGUUUUUUCCUGUUUUUCCUUUUCGUUUUGUUUUUCGGGUUUCUCUGUUUAGUCAUUGCUUUUCUUGAGUUUUUUGUUUUUUUAGUCAUAGGGUAGAAAAAAUAGGAAUAGGAAAGUCAUAGAAAACGAGAUAACACGUAUCUCCAAAUCCUAUGAAUAGGAAUAAGAAAGGAGAUGUCGUUUGGUUCACAUUAUAGAAUAUUUUCCAUCAAGUCUGCACUAAUGUUUAUUUUUUUUAGGAAAUGUGGAGGGUAGAAAGAAUUCCUCCAUAGGGAUAUGAUACUAUUCAUACAUACCAAAGGGAAGGAUUAUUUUUCCUAUAGAAAUCGUAUACUAUCGAAUUUCUCUAAGAUCCCUCCAAACAAAAGGAGGCCUAAGAUGGGCUUUUUGCCGAAACAGGUUUUCCGGGUGGCUCUAAAGGUUGAUUUCCCAGCCCGGUCAACAUAUUUCCUAGGCAGUUCUGCGUCUCGCCCAUAGCGAGACUUAUCAUGCACUCGCAUCAGGCAUCUCUCUAAAUGGGCAAGCAUAGCGUGGGAGGCCACAGGCCAGACCUUUUUUUUCAUGUUUUUGCUUUCCUUUUCUUUUUUUAUGUUUCAGAAUAUUUUAAAUAUAUAGUUUGCAUAAACUUUCAAAAUACGCUAAUAAAUAAUUUGAAAUUUGUAAAAUGUGUAUAGACAAAAUGUUUCUUAUCUGUACGAAAGAUUUAUACAACAAAUAUUUUAUCUCAAUGAAAAAAGUUAAUCAUGUAUUUAAAAAAUGUUCAUCAAGCAAUUGAUAAAUAUUAGCCAAGCAUUUGAAAAUUGUAAACUGUGUAUAGAAAAAAAUGUUUGCCAUGUAUACCAAACAAAAUAAUAUGUAUGGAAAAUGUUGAUCAUGUAUUUUAAAAGAAUGAAAUGUGUAUAAAAAUAUGUUCCUGAUGUAUAGAACAUAUACUAAAUAAAAGUAGAUAUCAAAAUACAUAUAUUGGAAAAUAGUUAAUUUGGUAUUUGAAAAUUGUUAAACAUGUAUAUAAAAAGGUUGCUAUUGUAUCGGAAAAAUGCUUAUUACCAUUAAGAAUGGUCACCGUGUAUUUGAUAAAUGCAAGGUUGGAAAAAGUGGUAGGCGCAAGCAAGGCGGUUGGCCUUUGCCUAGUGCCUAGGCAGUGCUUAAGCGUCCUAGACACAACCUAGGCAGUUAUAUAAUUUUUACUAUCAGGGUGUAUAUGUGGUUAUUAUAUGUGUAUUUUAUUAAUUCAGGGCAUAUAAGUAUGUUCUACCAGCUACUACGAUUGGAAUAUGGCCCUUUUGACAUAUCAGUACAAUAUGGCAUGAUUUCUUGCUUGGGUAGACAAUUUCUUACUUGCUCUGCCUAGACAUAUGCUUCUGCCCUAGGCGAAGCGUUUGGCCAUUGCCUAGCGCCUAGGCAUGCCUAAGCGCCUCCUAGGCACUGCCUUUUCCAACAGAGGAUAAAUGUUGACCAUGCAUUCAAACGCUUAUUAAAAAAAUCAGAUACAUAUACAAAAAAUGUACAAUGUGUAUGAAAAAAAAGUAGGAACAAACAUUAUAAGUUUUGAAAAAUGUUUAAAAUAUGAAACAUAUGCAUAAAUAUAUUUUAGAUGUAUAGGACAAAUAUUGAAUGUAUAAAUCGAAAAGUUGACUUGUGUUGAACAAAAAAUAAACAGAUUAAAACCAAUCCAAAAAUAGAGAAAGAAAACAAGAAAUGAAAAACAAACCACCAAAACCCAAUGCAUUAUUGAUUUAAUUAAAUAUCUUGUUGACCGGCUCACGGGAAAUUUAAUUUAAUUAAUAAUGCAUUGGGUAUUAUUGGUCUAUAUUUUCAUUUCUUGUUUUCUUUCUCUAUUUUUGGAUUGGUUUUAAUCUGUUUAUUUUUUGUUCAACACAUUUCAACAUUUUGAUUUACACAUUCAACAUUUUUCCUAUACAUCUAAAAUAUAUUUCGGCACAUGUUUAUAUUUUUAACAUUUUUCAAAACUUAUAAUGUUAGUUUCUACUUUUUUCCAUACACAUUGUACAUUGCGUUGUAUAUGUAUCUGAUUUUUUUAAUAAGCAUUUGAAUGCGUGGUUAACAUUUAUCAAAUACACGGUGUUCAUUCUUAAUGGUAAUAAGCAUUUUUCCGAUACAACUGUAACCUUUUUAUAUACAUGUUUAACAAUUUUCAAAUACCAAAUUAACUAUUUUCCAAUAUAUGUCUUUUGGUAUCUACUUUUAAUUAGUGUAUGUUCUAUACAUUAGGAACAUAUUUUUAUACACAUUUAGUUCCUUUAAAAUACAUGAUCAACAUUUUUCAUACAUAUUAUUUUGUUUUGUAUACAUGGCAAACAGUUUUUUCUAUAGACAGUUUACAAUUUUCAAAUGCCUGGUUAAUAUUUAUCAACUGCAUGAUGAACAUUUUUUAAAUAUACGAUUAACAUUUUUCAUUGAGAUUGAAUAUUUGUUGUAUAAAUCUUCCGUACAGAUAAGAAACAUUUUGUCUAUACAGAUUUUACAAUUUUCAAAUUGUUUAUUAGUGUUGUUUGAAAGUUUAUGCAAACUAUAUAUUUCAAAUAUUCUAAUGCAUAAAAAAAGAAAAGAAAAGCAAAAACAUGAAAAAAAAGGUCUGGUCUGUGGCCUCCCACGCUAUGCUUGCCCAUUUAGAGAGAUGCCUGAUGCGAGUGCAUGAUAGGUUUCGUUAUGGGCGAGACGCAGAACUGCCUAGGAAAUAUGUUGACCGGGCUGGGAAAUCAACUACUAGAGCCACCCGGAAAACCUGUUUCAGCAAAAAGCCCAUCUUAGGCCUCCUUUUGUUUGGAGGAAUCUUAGAGAAAUUUGAUAGUAUAGGAUUUCUGUAGGAAAAAUAAUCCUUCCCUUUGGUGUGUAUGAAUAUCCCUAUGGAGGAAUUCUUUCUAUCCUCCACAUUUCCUACAAAAAUAAACAUUAGCGCAGACUUAACGGAAAAAAAUACUAUAAUGUGAACCAAACGACAUCUCCUUCCUUACUCCUAUUCAUAGGAUUUGGAUAUAUGUGUUAUCUCGUUUUCUAUGACUUUCCUAUUCCUAUUAUUUUUCUCUACUUUUUUAGUCAUCGCAUUAUUCCUAUUAUUUUUCUACCCUAUUAUAAUUUUUAUAAUCGGCUUCGUCAUCCUCGUCAAUUAGGUAGUCAUCAUCUCAGAUUGGCCACCAUCCUAUCAGUUUUGCCUAAUCUUCCAUGCCUCUCAAGUGUUGUCUGAAUCUCAAAAUUUAGCAGGAUGAUUUUCACCCAAAACUUUGAGAUUUUGAUAGCUGCUGCUUCCGUCAAACUCGUCCUCUACAUUAGCUCUUGUCCAUUGUUUUCCACAUCAGCGAGUUCAUUGGAUUUUACCUUUUCUUUUGUACUACAUCCGUCACUUUUAGGUCCUCCGAAUAAAGGCUGCAAUUUUCGUGAUUGGUCCUAUUUUACAGAUUAAGAAUUGAAAUCUUAUGUCGAUAUGACGAAACGUUGAGUUCCUAACAAUCCCCCUUAAAUUUCAUGUGUUUGUAUUAUAUUCUAGUAUGUGUAACAUGCACAAUGAUUUGCCCUUGGGUUACUAAUCCGCUUUCUAUAAUUGCGUAUAAACUCCAAGGAAGGUGUUUCAUCUAUUCCAGUAACUUUUCAUGAUACAUAUAAUUGUUGUUCGAAUUGCAGACAUGCAAAUGAAAUUAAGCAAGUUGAUGCUCUUUUGUGGUACAUGUUUUGGAGAUGGCUCCGCGCCUCCACCGCCUUCAGCACACUGCUUCUGGUCUUGCAGUGCUUCUCGACUAAAAGGUGAGCAUGCUUCCAUCCUAUCAAAACCGAUGUCGUGAGGUCUGCAGACCACCCCUGCAUGAGACUCUUUGAAUUUUGUUUCUUCAUGUGUACUAACUGAUUCCUUAUCUUCAUCUCGGUCAUAUUUGCAUGUAUUAACGUUACUUUGCAGUCGAAGGAGUGAUCAACAGAACAUCGUUAUGCUAAGAAAAUCUUUGCUAUUAUGUGCUUCAGUCAGAUAAACUACAUGUUUCUUGAGAGAAUUCGAUGUUUCCACAUUGUUCCAUCCAUGGCCAAUUAGUUAGUUGCAAGUAUUUCUAAAUUUCAAAUAUGCUUUUAAAAAGUGUAGCAGAUCAUAUGUGGAACGUUGGUUAUCGCAUCAGUUGGUGACUUCCUUAUAGUGUGUGUGGCAUAUACCGAGAAACAUGCACAACUUCAUUUAUGCAAUAUGUUUUUCUGAGAUCCCUCUGCCCCAUUCUUCAUCAGGGCUUUGUUUCCCCUUCCCUGUUACACUUUAGAUUUGACUUUUGUAGUGUUGCUCCCCUUCUUAUACUAUUAUUUAUUUAACUUUUUGUGCAAUUUGCUAUAUCAUCAACUUUGAUUGCACUAAAAGUUUCUCUCCAUGCAUGCUAAUAAGAUGGUGUCACAUUCUAUGUUUGCGGAGUGAUCUUUUUAUUUUGCAGGCAAAUAGAAAUGAGUUUCAGAGAUAGCCCUCAAAAUAGAAAUGAGUUUCAGAGAUAAAGGUUGAGCUUUGAGGAAACAAACCUUGACAAGGUGCAUGAAUAUUUUGGAAAGUCUAAUUUAACUUUAAUUUUCAAUCCGAUCUUGAGCAUCUCCAUAACUUCUGCUUACCACUUUGAGACUAUUUUUCUGAUUCCAGUGAAGUCUAUUUAACCGUUUGUUACUGACCAUUAUUGAAUUUACACCAUAACUUCAGUGUUUCUGUGAUUCGAUUUGUUAGAUAGAGGUAAAAACUUGGCAUGAGUCAUUAGCUAUCUAAAAAACAGAUAAAAAGAGAAGUUGUUGUGUACUAAUUUAUUAGGUUUAGUUACAUAAGAUAGAUCAUUUAUCGCAACUUAAUCACACUUAAUAGUUCACCCUAUAUAUUUUUUCUGUCCAAUUGGCCAAUGAAGAUUAAUGUUUCAUUCCCUUAGUGAAAACCUAAGUAGUUGUACCCUUCUUGGAUACUACCACGGGAAGGGCUCAUUGUAAUAAAUCAAGUUGUAUAUCACUUUUGGAUUAAUCUAUGUAUGAAUUGCUUCCUGAUCAAAAUAGUAUUUAAUAAAAUUACAGGUUAUGCUUUUGUGAAUUGUACUUGCAUUGUUUUUUCUACUUGAUAUCCUACUAGAACUUCCAUUGCUUGCUUAAGUUUUGUGUCAGAUAGUUGGAAGGAAGCAGCUUUGAUCUUGAAAAUUUUGAUAAGGUUUCAUGUACAUUUGAUACGGUUGAUGUUACAUGACCUAGCCAUGAUACAACAACAAGAUGAUUUGAUGUAAAAUCAAGCGGAGCAUUAGUUUUUCUUUCUUUCCCAUAAGUUCUUCUCAUGGUCUCAUCCAUUAUUGCUGCCCCUUGUCUCUCCUGAUGGCAGCUGUAAGGGCGAAAGUGCUAUUCUGUGCCCGAGCACAGUUGCACUCGAUAUCCAUCCCGUCGCUCUCCCUCGAGAUUCCUGAAGCACUUCGUAUAGGCCCAGGUAUAUUCCUUGUACUUAUAUUUUUCGUGCAAGGCCGAUGGCCCACGGCUGACUACCAGACGCCUUCACGCCGUAAGCCCCCCUCCACAGCGGCUCUGGUUUGGAUAUACGAGAUGGGCCGUUGAGCGACAGAUUCUAGACUAACGCAAUCACAUCUUCCAUUUAUUAUCCCUCAAAAAAUAAUCUCUCCCAUUUAUUGUGUUCCACACCGUUGGAGGUAAUACCAACCAAUCUUAUCCUCCACGAUUCAUUUGGGCCCCACUCGAUAAAUCCAUGUGAGACCAAAUUAGUUCUUCAUCUGUAAUCCAUCCCAAGAACCAGACCGUCGCUCAGCAGCUCCUGGCUCGUGGUCUCCAUAUCAUUCUUCCAUCGGCGGGAAAUCCGGCAUCUCCCCUUCUGCGCAAACGACUACCACAUUUGCUGCUACAUCUGCGGACGCAUGAUCUGUGGCCUGCAAAAGAAAAAAACAUCCUCUCGAGAUUAAUCCAGGCACGCCUACACGAUCGAUCUACCUACAUGGUCGAGCGCAGCUGAAACACCGGAGGACGAACUGAACUCAAUUUCUGAUCCCACCCCUUGGUCACACUAGCUUGUUUCUGAACUAUCAUGACCGUGCAUGACGGCCAAUAUUGUCUACUGAAGGACGGUUCACAUACAGUUCAAACUAGCAAUGACAUAUCACAAGAAGUACCUCUGCUGUCAAUAGAUCUUGCUUCGAACUUGCAUCCGAAUCUGAUUCUGCGAUAGCCGAUGCAGAGCUGGGUAGCACGGAAGGAGCCAUUGUGCUGCUCUUUGCAACACCUUCGGACCAGUCUUCAGUUUUCCUAUCACUACACUAGGCAGUGGAUUAAUGGAGAACAGAUACAGCUUAGCCAUGACUCUGCGGCAAUAUAUGUAUACAACCUGAGUUUCUUCUGCUCUAGUCGUUCGAAUUGGAUACAGUUGUCAGCAGUUCUACUUCCAAGCCAACUAGCAUUUAAUAUUAUUGUCCAUUCAGCAAGCAAUAUUAAACAUGUGUCAAUUCAUACAACAUGCUCUGCAUUCCUAGAUUCAGUCAGGCGAGCUGUCAAGCUCCCCAACGCUUCACUCACCAUCAAAUAUAGCAAGUCGUAUGUAUUUAAAUUUUGGUUCUUGUGUUAUUAAACGAAGUGUUCCACAUAAUCUAAUCUCAUUGAAAUAUAUUGCAAUCGAUUCCGUGGCAACACUCGUAGUAUCAUCUAAUUUUGAAAAAACAGGGUACCAAAUAUUCAGGAUCUGGGUUUCCAGGUAGCUUUUGUCAGCAACAAAUAAUCUGUAAUGUGGCCACCACAUGAAUUGUGGUCACCACAUAUUAUGCCCUAAGGUAAUCCUGACAGCUGACACUGCAUGUUAUCACAAUACUGAAGCACAACGAACUAAAAAGAAUAUACAGACCAAUUUACUGAACAUUCACACUGCAUGUUAUCACACAAUAUUCCAUCUACAGCUUAUCAAAUCAGCACCAAAGUACAAACACAUGUCUAAACCAAAUUACUGAACUUCCACUGCAUCUACUCGGCGAUGCCACUUUUGUAUGCGUUAUGUUUGUUGCUACUAAAUUUUCAUACUGUCGUCAGCGAUUUACAAGACUGAAUUUCUCAUACAAGACAAAGAAUGCGUUCAGAUUUGUUUUGUGUACUUCAGCACAUAAUCUACCAAGCAGGACUAACUAUGCCAUGUACUGUACACAAAAAUUGCAUUCUUCUAUCUGGAAUACUCAGCAGCUCCCAAUUUCCACUAUUUGUAAUUGCACCAUUAUACAGAUUGUUUUUCCAUAAGCAUAAUCAAAGAACCACAUGGCUCAUUCACAACUCUAACUGAGCAAAAGACCAGGUAAUCCACAUACCAAAAUUAGCGUGCUCCAAAUCCAAUAGGUUGCCUGCGCGUCCAUGCAGGAGAUUUCGAGUAACCCUGACCAAUGGAUUGCUCAGAUGCUUGCGGUCCCCCGUCGAGUUCACCACCAGCCGCCCCUUCUGCGGCAUAGAAACUACGGAACUGAUAUAUUAAAUUCAGAGUUUAAUGUAGUUAGGAUUCACACCAAUUCAUAUCAAACCAUGGAUUACCAGCAGAAAAAACAGAAACAAAAAUGCAUUACCGUACACAACCUGAAAAUUGGAUACUUAAUUUUUUUUUCAUAGCAGCUGUAAACAGGCAUCCUUCCACAGUAAUCCACAUCACACCAUGGAUUACUACGGGACUGAUAGAUUAAAUUAAUAGUACAAACCAACCAGCAAUCACACUAAUUCAUAUCACACCAUCGAUUUCUACCGGCAAAAGAAUCAAGCAAGAAGGCAAGACCAUAGAUAGCCUGAAAUUCUUCAUAGCACUGUUCAAAUUUAAAUUAUAUUCCCCUCACCCCUUAUUCCAGCCAGGAGCCUGGGGAUUCAUCUUCCCUGUCGACAGCUCCGACGUCGGAGGCUAGCUGUCCCUUCUUACUGCUGCCGCUUGAACCGCGCUGCAGAUUCGGCCUUCGCCGCUAAUUGCCGCCGCUCCUGACGCACCGCAGAUCCGCCCGUCGCCGCUCGAACCCAUUCGCCUCGUACCAUCCGCCAGCGAACCUUCCGGCACUAGACUCUCUCCGACCUCCUCAAUCAUAGUGGAUCUGUGGCAGAGAAAGCAACGAGACUCAGCCGCCUCAGCUACACACUUCAAAUCGCUUGAUAAGCUGAGUAAAAUCGCAUCGGAGUGGCAUACCUGCGGAUUGGCUGCGUGAGGAACUCCAUGGCGCGCCUGUCGCUUGUUCUUCCCCUCUCUCCCUCUAUCGCUCUUCACGGCAAUGGCUGCGGCGCUGGGUAGACGACACAGGGCUUGCAUUCAAGCCGCGCCUGCCGUCCUCGGACGGCAAGCAAAACCUCUGAGCCACGGAUCAGACAGACUUCCCCGAUUCUGGUCCACGGCUCGGUCCGUCGCAGGUGGACGGCCGUCGCUCUAGUGGCCCACUGCCCAGGCCUGAAACAUACGUAUUCUCCUACGCCACCCAUUUUCCCGAAGUGCUAACCGCAGUGUAUAAAGAAUUGACGCACAUCCCCACGCAUACACGAACGCGCGUGAUAUCGAGCACAUAUGAGCUCGCGAGCAGUUGUAAGGGACACUUUUGUCCUAAAAAACUCACCGCCCCAAUUAUUACUUAUGUCUGCAUGUACUUCAUUUGACAACAUCAGGUCACCUCUGCAUUUUAACUAGGAACGACAUGUUCUACAUCUUGGAAAGAAUCUUUGUUUGUGCGCUCUACUAAUUGUUGGAACAAUAUAACACGUACACCUCAUAUCAUGUUUCUAAUGUAUGAAAUUUGUAAUUUCUAAGGAUGGUUGUGUAUUUUUUUCUGUGCGUUAUAUGAAGAAACAUUUCCGUACUUCGUAAUUUGUAAGUGAUUCUUAAAGUUUGAACUCAUCCGUCUUCUGUAUUUGAUUAUUUUACGGAAUUAUUCCAAAUAAUUUUUGUGCCCACUCUUCCUAUCUAUUUCGACUCUUAACUUCUAUGGUCCCCUAGCAUCACAUUAUUUCUGAUCAAAUUUAUUAAAUUCCGUUCUUAGGUGACCAACAAACAUAUGGGUAAAUUUAUUAAGUUUCGUUCUAUGGUGACCAAAAAACAUGAGGGGGUUUGGGUGGCCACGGCGCUUGGCUGGGUUUGCGAACGUAGUUACCCUGGCCUAGAGUGUGCUUGGCCCGCUUCACAGGAAAUCGGCGAAGUCAUUCUGCAGAGUGGCCUAGUUUACGUUCGGUAGCUCUGUCUCUCGGUAAAAAUUGGGCAGGGAUGGAUGCAGAGGUGAUCCAGGCCGUGCAUGCCCAAUCGGACGGGUAGGAGGUGGAGAUUGCUCCCUACAUCUUACUUACUGUUUUGUAAUUUAUUAACUUUUUUGUGUGAGUAGUACUCCCUCCAUUUCUUUAUAUAAGGUGUAUUUGUUUUUUGACAAAAUUCCACAUUGUAAGGUGCAUUGCUUGUAAAUCUUUAUAAUUCCUUUUAUACCCCUCCAGAAAGAGGAAGUAUCUAUCUCCUGAUUUUCUGUAUCUCUCCUUGUAUCAAAACAAGAAAAGUAUCUCUCUCUUGAUUGCUUGUAUCUCUUAUUUUCCUCGAUUCACUUAUUACUUGCGACUAACCAACAAAUUUGCCAAGGGUAAUUUUGUCCUAACAUGUCCAUAAUUAUGCGCCUUGGUCAUCAUGCCAAACGGAGGGAGUAUUUAUUAAAUUCCAUCCUCACAUCACACGAUGCUAAUUAUAGAUAGCUCCUAGCUACCAUCCUUCUUGCCGGCCAAGAAGAGAUUUAUCAAGGCUUUGCUGAGGAUUGCCAGCUUCUCUAGUAUUUCAUUUGCCAUAGCCAUCGUCCCCGCCACCGACGUGCUGCAGACCUCGGCAGUGCAGUCCUUGAUGUUGUUGGUCGUCUUAACUUAUUUUGGAAAUCUUUAAAUGGACAUUGUGUAUGUACUUUUCACGGAUUAUUUCCUUCCAAACAUAGUGGGGGGGGGGGGUAGGGUAAAGUGUUGUCUUGUUUAGAGGGGAUUGCGAGGUAAAAUGGUUCUCAAAGCUACAUGAGGAUGAUAUGUCACUACAUUGGUAACUAGGGUGACAAUUUAGAGCACACUACACCGUUUAAUGCCUCAAAUGAACUGCGGGUUCGAAAAGGGGGCAUAAACUAUAAAGGUGGACCUAUAAUACACAAAUGGAAUCAAUCCUGGAGCAGCCUGGCGGCAAUGUUCGAUGUGGAGUGGGGCGAAUAGAUGAGGCUGGGAGGGGAUCUUAAAGGGCAUGGCCACAGAGCUGGGCGUGCACUGGGGCACUGGGAACGUGCGACAUGCACUUGGGUUGUGAUGAGAUUGUGGGCUUGGUGAUCUUGGCUAGAGAUUGACGAAGGCGGUCCCACCUAGCAGUGAAGGAGAGCGAGAAGAGAGAGGUCUGCGGGCAGCACGCUAGCCAUCUGAUGCUAAUCCGGCGGCUUCGAUAAAACGACAUGUACUGCUUCGACGACUGGGUUGAUGGGCUGCACGCUGCUGUUGGGUUGGGCCUGCUGCGCUAGCUCGCCUGGCUGGCUGGUCCUGGUCUUUUUCUUUUUUGUUUAUAUUUUUAUGUUUCUCUUCCCAUUUCUGUGCGAAUUUCAAAUUAGUUUCAACAUCAAACUUGCUCCAAUUUUAUUUUGGGGUAUUACCAGAAGUUUAAACAUUUAUUUACGAUUUAUUGAAAUAAUUUUCCCACCAUAAUAAAUGAUAAGCCCUUUGUAUUAAUUCUCACUUGAUUCAUUCUCAUUUUUCAAAUUGGGCUUCUUUUGUUAUUCGAGUUUCAUGGAAUCUGUAUUAUCCCGCCCAUUUGAAAUAUUUGGUUUGUUUGUUCAUUUUUGGGGAUUUAUUUUAGGUCCCAUUUUCCCUUUUGGUUCCGUUUAAUCUUUACGUGACUUCAAGGUUUUGAAUAUUUGGGGCUUACAUAAUUUUAUUUCCAACCCAAAACAAUUCACACAAGGUUACUCAUAUUUGUGUGGAUCAACUUUUGGGUUUUAUAAAUAAUCCCCAAAUGACAAUUGUAGUUGUUGUAAUUGCCAAAGUUUUAUUUGAGCCACAUUUUCAAACAAUUCAACGACUCCUAAAAAAUUUAGCUAAGAGCAACAAAUCACACGCAUUUUAGGAAAUUUUAAUUCCCUGUAAUUUUUAUUCUUAGCAUUCCAAGUUUGAAACUAAAUGGUUGCACCUUGAGGAACUAUUUGUAAGUUUGGUUCUAGAGAUGUACAACUUGAAAGUUGCACAACAAAAAAACCGUGUGCAACCAUUGAAUUGCUGAGAGUCAAUUAGAUCGAUUCUAAAUGUAGCACAGAGAUAGAUAGAAAAUCGGUUAUACAAAAGGAUAUCUACAACACACCAAUGCAAAUAAGAAGUAUUAAUGUGCACCAAAGGAGAUUUAUACAAAAGGAGAUCCAAAAUGAACACCCACAUAUCUGUGUGCCCAAUUAGUAGGAAGUAUUAAUGUGAGGAGCUCCAAAAUGAAGACCCGCAUAUCUGUGUGCACGCAUUCUAUGGGCUCUAACUAUUUGGAAAUCCGAAUCAAGACUUAUUGCAUUAAUGAACAUAUGGGAACUUUUAUGUGUGUUAAUACGGGGAGGAUCUAAAAUAAGCAUCCAUAUAUUUGUGAAUAUAGAGGGCACUAAUACAAGAUCCAAAACGAGGAUCAACAUAUUUGUAUAGCUAGCACUAUUAAUUCGUAUAUCUAUGGCUAAGCAGCACACUGCAUUUCUGAACCGCCACUGAUUUGUAUAUAAAAAUCUCAACCCACGCACAUCGCUUCAUCAAUCCAUCUCUUCCCUACUCAUCAUUCUAUAUCCAUUUAUCUCCACCUUCCCCAGCUUCAAUACAUUUCAAGACUUCCAACUAGCCUUAUAGCAAUGACAACAAUGUCGGCGACCUCCAUCCUCUUCUCUGCCAUCGCUAUUAUGCUCCUUUCCAAUACCCUCGCCGCCAAAUCCAGUGCCUCCGGGGGUGUCAAACCCAAGGUGACCAACUUCAUUUUGGAAGCAUGCAAGAAUGCCUCAAUGAAAAACCAAAUAUACGACCCCAACCCAAUCACGCAUGAGUUUUGUGUGUCGACCCUCAAGUUGGACAAUCGAAGCGCCGAGGCUAAAGAUAUCCAUAGCCUGGUACACGUCGCCAUCGACAUACUCAAGGGCCAAGUUGCCACGGCCAAUGACAAUGUCAAACAAAUGCUGCACGGCACCAAGAAUGGCACGGCUACAAUGCGUGCCCUCAGUUUCUGCAUGGUGGACUACAACCGCAUGGUGAGCAUCCUCAACAUAUGUGACACAAUGAUAAAGGAGUACCAUGGUCGCAAGGGCAGAGCCGAUGAUGGGUUGAUGUCUUCUGAGCUGCCUUCCUGUGUGGAGAAAGUUGACAAACCUUUCAUCGACUGUUGGUUGGGCCUUCUUGCUAUGGAGGCGAAAAAGUUGUUAGAUGAAAAUUUUGCGGUGGGCAUGUUGGUCAAACUUAACUUUUGCCUUGCUAGCACCAUAUAGGGCCAAUGAUUCAUAAUUUGUUUUUUCUACAUGAAAUGGUGUUGUUGUAACAUCUAUUUACCUUCACUUGGAAUAA
rnacentral:lncRNA from 1 species